UUUUGGCUCUGCUAGAAAUACAGAUAUAUAACUGCACUCCUUGCUCAGGUUUUUCCCAUUACUCUCUCCGAAUACCCUCUCCUUUUUCUACAAGAAAAUUAAACCUGAUCAUGUAUUACUUGUCUUUGGUGGCCUAUUAUGUCUUUUUUAAUGCAUGGAAAGUUCUUUAUUUUCUCUCUCUACUAGUUUUGGCUUCAUUUCACAUGUUUGUGCUGUCAAGAAGAAUGGGAAAUUUUCAAGAAUUAGCAGCUUUUGCUUGUGAGGAAAAGAUCUGGAAUAAUUUGUUCUGCCUGCAGUUUGAAGUGAACCCAGCAGCUGCAAAUACUUCAUUUUAUGAGGUUCCGCUGCUUGUUUCAAGGUUUAUUUGACGAUCCUUUUUGCUUUUUGCUUCAUCUAAUUUUCUUCUCCUAGACUUUUUUUUGGUAAAAGAAAAAGAAAAAGAAAGAGAAGACAAAUUGUGUAAUGAUGACAUAUAUGAGUGAAGUGAAGCAAAAGCUUAGUUCAUUGAUUCUCCUUAUUGGUUCAUGCAGUUCUCUGUGUGUGUGUGUGUGUGUGUAUACAUUCGACAAAUUAAUCGCAAAUUGAGAUGGUCAUAGUAUUCCAAGCAGCUUUUUUUUUUCUUUUAUUGGUGAUGACAUGAAAAUUAAAUAUUUUUACAUCUGUUGAAAUAGUUUUUGGAUAAGUAUGUAAACUUUCAUCAGCUCUAUAAAAAAAUCUUGGAUUCGCAUUGCCAUGCGGCAAAUAUAUAUCUUGUGAUGGUGUAACGCUUGUAGUCAUUUUGCAUUGUCAGCAGGAAGUAGAUUUCUUUCAAAGUUAUGGCCAUUAUCAUUUUCUCAUAAUUGAACGAACAGUAUAAUCCUUCGUAAUCAACCAAUUAACUCUUUGACUCUUUGGCUUUGGCUCCUUCAUGAAUGUGGAUGCUAUCCCAACUCUCAACUACCAAUCUCCAAUUCUCUUUUAUUAAAUAAAAUUGUACACAUGCUCCUAUAUUUUAUAUAUAUAUAUAUAUGUGUGUGUGUGUGUGUGUGGGCACCCUCAUUUUUUUUUUUAAAACAGACAUAUUGUUAAGCUAUACGACUUAAUAGAGUUAAUUUUCAAUAUAUAUACUAUAAAGUCGAGCUAUUUUGAUAGGCUUAAAAACUGACUUUAGUAAACUUCACGACUUAAAAUUAUGUUCUCAUAAAAAAAAUGAGGACGCACGCACUAAAGAAGAACUAUAUAUAUUUGAUAUAUGUAUAUAUGUAUAUAUGUAUAUGUAUAUGUAUAUGAGAUAAGUUCAAGAGACAUAAUUUUUUACAUAAUUUUAAACACAAUUUUUAGACUAUUAAAUUACAGAAUAAUGAAUGGUUAAGAUUUGUUAUAAGGGAAGACUUUUAACUCAGUUAAUUUCUUUUCUCCCUUUUAUUAAUUACUAAAUAUUUAAUUAUUAUUUUCUCCCUCUAUCUCUUUUUUUAAACUACUUCUUCCCUCAUAGUAAAAUUUACUUUCUAAAUAAUUUUGUAUUCUUUUAAUCUUGUAAUUGCUUAAUAGUGUUUAGGAUAAAACAAAUAACCCUAAUAAGAAACACGUCCACCAAAAUUUUCAUCAACACACAUUAAAAAUUGAUCUAAAAGUGAAAAGUUUCAGUUUUUGUGAAGCCUACAAAGUAAUCAUAAACUAAAUUAAGCACUCGUAGAGCCUCGAAAUUCUACAUGAUUACAAAUUGGACUAUGUUCAAAUCGAACUUUAAGAGUCAUUCAUAUGAAUUCAUAUUUAUUUUCAAUAAUAUUUGACUUUCUUUUGUCAAUUUCAACAAAAUUAAUGUUAAACAUAUCUUGAGUAGCUAUCUUUAAUUUUGAGGAAAGAAGAAGAGAAGAUGAGAACAGGAAAAAAAGAAGCAGAUGAAGACGAUGACCAGAGAAAAAAUAUAUAUUUUAUGGUGGAUAUUAAAAAAAAAAAAACACUACGGUCAUGAUAACAAGCUCAUGAUAACAAUCCAAAGCACAUGAUUUUAUGGUGCAACAAUUAUCUAAAAUGACUUCGGUCACCAGUAUCAAUUUGUGCACGUUUUCCCGCUCAAGCCAACCCAAUUUACGCAGCUAUAUAAUAACUCAACAAGAAAGCAUGACAAUUCAAUUAAAAGUUGAAGCGUUCAAUUAAAUAUAAAACCUAAAACUUUCGGGAGUUAAAUGAAAGACUUGCCCUACUAAGGAAAGUGAAUAAACUUAUUGCCAAAGAAUGAAAGCUCUCUUACCUCAUAACUAAGCUUCUGUUUGGGAUUGAAGUGCUGUAGAUUUUAAGUGAUAGUUGUUGUAGAAAAAAAAAAAAACUAUAGUUAUAAAACAAAAGUUAAUAAUAGUAAACAUAAAUUUUAAAUAAUAAUUUUGAUAAAAUUAUUAAACAUAUAAUAAAUUUUCUAUUAUACAAGUGAAAAAUCAACAUAACUCACGCUUUAGUGCUGUAGUUUAAAAGUUACAGCUGUCUAACUUUAAUCACAAACGCACCCUAACUACAAUAUACAAUAAAAUUUGUGCACAUAAGAACAUCACCUCCUUAAAUUCAUUGCUCCAAUUUUAAUUUUUUUUUUAAAAGACAGAAAAGACUUGACCCACAUUAUUUGUUGCAUCAAUCAAAUUAAUAAGUAAAUUACGUACACAAUUUUGGCUCUGCUAGAAAUACAGAUAUAUAACUGCACUCCUUGCUCAGGUUUUUUCCAUUACUCUCUCCUUUUUCUACAAAAAAAUAAAACCUGAUCAUGUAUUACUUGUCUUUGGUGGCCUAUUAUGCCUUUUUUAAUGCACGAAAAGUUCUUCAUUUUGUUUCUCUACUAGUUUUGGCUUCAUUUCACAUGUUUGUGCUGUCAAGAAGAAUAGGAAAUUUUCAAGAAUUAGCAGCUUUUGCUUGUGAGAAAAAGAUCUGGAAUAAUUUGUUCUGCUUGCAGUCUGCAAAUACUUAAUCUUAUGAGGUUUCAAUGCUUAUUUCAAGGCUUAUUUGAUGAUCUUUUUUGCUUUUUGUUUCAUCUAAUUUUCUUGUCCUAGACUCUUUUUUUUUUUUUCUUUUUGUAAAAGAAAAGAAAAAAGAAAGAGAAGAAAAAUUGUGUAAUGAUGACAUAUAUGAGUGAAGUGAACCAAAAGCUUAGUUCAUUAAUUCUCCUUAUUAGUUCAUGCAGUUCUCUGUGUGUGUGUGUGUACACAUUUGACAAAUUAAUCGUAAAUUAAGAUGGUCAUAGCACAAGCAGCUUUUUUCCUUUUAUUGGUGAUGACAUGAAAAGUUAAAUAUUUUUACAUCUGUUGAAAUAGUUUUUGUCAAAGUAUACAAACUUACUGUUGAAAUAGUUUUUGGAUAGAGUAUUAAUAUAGUCACAAAUUCUUGCAUAAAUUUAUUUUGUACAAAUUAAUGCGGCAUGAUAAAAUUGAUUGAAUUAAAUAUCUUUUGGCCUACAUAAUUUGUUUUUAUUAUUUUAUAUUUUCAUUCAACUAAUAAAUUAAUAUCAAAUCAAUUUGUAUAAAAUAAGUUUAUACAAAAAUUUGUAACUAUAUUAUCACUCUUUCUUUUGGAUAAGUACGUAAACUUACAUCAGCUCUAUAAAAAGAUCUUGGAUCGCAUAGCCAUGUGGCAAUAUAUAUAUUGUGAUGGUGUAACACUUGUAGUCAUUUUGCAUUGCCAGCAGGAAGUAGAUCUCUUUCAAAGUUAUGGCCAUUAUAAUUUUCUCAUAAUUGAAUUGAGCACUAUAAUCCUUCCAAAUCAACCAAUUAAAUCUUUGACUUUGGCUAUGGUUCCUUCAUGAAUAUGGAUGCUAUCCAAUUCUCAACCACCAAUCUCCAAUUCUCUUUUAUUAAAUAAAAUUGUAUAGUCCUAUAUUAUACACAUAGCUACCAUUUUUUAAGUGUGGGCGCCUUUAAUUUUUUUUUUUAAUAUAGAUAUAUUGUUAACUUAUACGACUUAAUAUAGUUAAUUUUUAAUAUACUAUAAAGUUAAACGGUUUAAUAGGCUUAAAAAAAUGAAGGCGCUUACACUAAAAUCAAAACAAUACCGACAACAUCAGUUGUUGGCGGUGUGUGGGGGUGUGUGAGUGAGACUGUGAAAGUGAGUGAGUGGGGCUGGAUAGCUACGGCUGGGGGCUGUGCAUUUGUGCCGUCGUUGUGGAAGUAGAUGAGAAGAGAGGAAUUACCGAAGAUUAAGAAUGGGCAAUCUGAAAUUUAUCUUAUGUUUAACUCGAUUAAAAAAAAUCAUAAAUAUUUUAACACACAAUGAUAACAUUUAGUUGAUUUUUUACGAAAUACAAAAAGCUCAAGUUUAUCAAACUCAAGCAAAUCAAAAUUUAAUGUGCCACAUCUACUCUCAAAUAUAUAAACCCCAAGAAAAAAAAAAAAUUCUCAAACUCCUCAACCAGACAAUAGUGGUUAGCAUGUCGUACCAAACGGAUAUGAUGUUACAAAGAUUUUUUAUAUCAAGGAGCUAGAUAAGCUGCAUGUGUUCCUGUUGAAGCCAACCCAAUUAAUAUGCAUAAUGUACAACGAAGCAGGACCCAUUCAAUUGAAAAUAUAACAAGUAAAGUUAGCUCAAUUUCUUAGCAUAUUGAAUGAAUGAUUGACUUCAAUUAGAAACAACAGACAAAAUCUUGCCAGGUAGGCCAGCCAGCCAGCCAGAUUAAUUAAUAAUUAUCAAUAAUGUGUGUUAAAUUUGCUGCGUACGUUUAUACAUCAGUCAUCAAUCUGUAACUUAUGAAAAUUAUCAAUCUUUCGUUGCCUCAAUCAAAAUAUGAAAAUUAUGUGCACAUUUUCUGCUAGCACUAUACUAUACAUAAAAAAAAAAAAAAACUUACUUGCCCGGGUUUUUUUAAUACAUAUUCUCUCUGAAUAAUACAGCUCCUUUCGCUUCAAGAAAAAUACAAAAUAAAAUAAAGUUGAUGUAUUACUUUUCGCUGGCAGCAUAUUAUGUGAUCUUUAAUGCAUCUAAAGUUCUGUAUUUUCUUUCUCCAUUAGCUAGUUUUGGCUUCAUUUUACAUGGGAAAUUUUCAAGAAUUAUUCGCAGGUUUUGCUUGUGAAGAAAAGGGCAGAAACAAUCAUUUGUUCUGUGCCAUGCACAGUAUCCUCAAUUUGAUGCAAUGUCAUAUGUGUGCCUAAAAAGAACAAUCACAGAAUCCUUAGUUGUAGAUUUCUAGUACUUAUUUAAAAUUCUUCGUACUUACAAGUUAAAUUAAUUAACGUCUCAAAUGCCUUGAGAUAGCUACAGCUAAUAAUUAAAUAAAUAUGAAGGCUACUUAAAGCUAAGUUUGGAUUGCAGAAGAAAUAAAAUGCAUAUUAGAUAUUAAGAGCAUCUCCAAAAGACUUUUUAGAUUUUACCCUUUAAAUAUCAAUUUGUUUACUGAUGUGGCAAAUAAGUGGAUGGAAACAUACAAUCUCCUUCAAAAGACUCAUCAAAUAAGAAAAAGUUAAUAUUAUUUUAAUCAAAUCUUUCCACUAUUAAAUUGAAUUAUUGUUAUGUUUUUUAAAAGGAAACAUAAAUAAUAAUUAUUACAGUCUUAUCUUUUCAAUAAAUAAUAAUAAAAUAUUAAUAGAAAAGGGAGUAACUCACUCGACAAUAUUAAAGAGUGAUAAACAAAUUUUAUUCGAAGAAUUUAAAUUAACUUAUCUUUUAAAGUGUUUAAUAUUGUAAUUAUUUUUUUAAAUAAGAAAUAAAAUUUUAUUUAAAAAGUCUUUUAAAAAUAUUCUGAAAGGAGGAUAUAUUUACUCAAUCCCACGGCUCUUCAGGUGUCUUGAAUGGCCCAUGAUGGGUAAUUAAUGUACUCAUCUCUGGCCAUCAUUUUCUGUGGGAUUUGAUUAAUCAUGUCAUAAUCGUCACCAGUUAGUGCCCAGUCAAAUAUAUCCAGGUUCUCCUUUUUGAAGCUCUUAGCAACAACAGUCGCCCCUUCCUCAAAAAUGCAGAAUCAUAAUAAUUAUUUCAACUUUUCAAUUUGAUACAAUAUGAUUUUAAUAAAGUACAAAUAAAAUACCUGUGAAUGUGAUUGCUUUUUUUUUUAAUAAUUUUGAUUGGUGGCCGUGGCCCCUGGGUGGGCUUCACUAAGAAACAAAACACAAUGGGCUUUUUGCUUGUGCGAAGCUUCCACUUUGAGCCUUUUGGCCUGGCGCCCUGGAGGACAAAUCUGUCAUUCAAUACUCCAUAAUUUGAAUCUCAUGGCCCGUUACAAAACCUUUCCACGCUCCCCUUUUAGACUAUUAUUAACAACCGACUAGGGACAUUCCCGUCAAGUCGCAAUUAUUUAAGCAUUCCCAAUUCGACCGUUAGAUCCCAAAUAGCCGUUUAAAGAAACAUAGCCCUCACUGUUUCUUCAACAUCUCUCACAAAAAAUUCGCCAUCAAUGGCUGACGAUCAGGGUACGAAGCCAUCAAUAAUGGAGCCAAAACCACCACACCCACUUCACCAAAUCGCCGAAACACCAACUCACAAGCUUCUCCUCAAGCAAUGGCUCAAGGAAGAAGAGCUAAUCCUCAACAGAAUCGCUCUUAAAGAGACCCAAAUCGACUCAGUUCGCAAAGAAAUCACACAACUCUACAUGUUCUUCUUCGUCUUUCACUCCAUCGCUCUAAUUCUCCUCUUCAACGCCUCAUCAAACGACCCAUUUGAGAAAUCGUGCCGCAGAUCUUGGAUCCCUUCUUUGUGCACACUGCUUUGCUCUCUGGUUUUGAUCUGGGCCGUUAGAUACAAAUCUGACGUGGAGAGUCACUUGGAGAAGUUGCUUGAAAGAGAGAAAGAGGACGGAAAGUUGUUGGCGAAGUGCGUCGAGGAAUUGAAAAAGAAAGGAGUUGAAUUUGAUCUGUUGAAAGAAGUUGAUGCAUUGAGAAGGGCUAAGAGCUUGCGAGUUGAAGCGAAGGCUGUGAAAAAAUGGUCAGCAAGAGACUUUGUUACACUGUUCUUUUUUAGUGUGUCUUGUUUGGUUCUUGCUUUGACUAGAAUUAUUCUGUGUAAUUAGGGUUUUAGGAUUUGGGGGGGUUUGAAACUUUUUGUGGGGAUUAAUGAUUACUGGAUGAUUGAUUGGGAUGGAAGAUCUCUUGGCUUCUGUUCUUUAAAUGAUUAAAUUGGUGGGAUAUUAUUCAUUUUGGGAUGUGCAGAAUAUUGUGUUCUGCUUUUGUAAUUUCGAAACUUAUAUUGAUAAUUAUGAAAUAAUCAUCUGAUUUCUUGUUCUAAUUUUUCUUUUUCCUUUGGUGAUGUUGAUAUGAAAAAUCUAUAAAUGUUUACUCUGGUGAUGAUUGAAUUAAAGGGAAAAUUAUCUGGGUUGGUUGGUGAUAAUAGUUAGCUAAACUUAUCAGAUAGAUUGAAAUCAUUCAAAUGUUGCACAAUUUACAUCUAUCCUAGAAAUCAGAAGCGAUUAUGCCUUGAAAAGUUUGCAUUGAAAGGAAAAUUAUGCUGCUCUCUCUCCACAUAAACACCUUUAUUUUUGCUGGAAUCGACAGGGACCAAAUAACACCUUCUUUGAAUGAUUUAGGAAAUUUAUUCUGUGAAGCCACCUGAUAUCCACUCUUGACCAAACACUAUCCUCACUUGUCAAAUUGCCAGAAGCGUUUAUUGUCCUGAGCCGUUUGCGAAAGCAUAAUGCUCAGAAUUUGUUCUGCUUCCCCUUCAAAGAAAUGUUGAUUAACUAGGUCUUGCCUUCCAUGAUCAGCAUCUUCACCUUAGCUUCUCUUUGGAGCAAAUAGUUUUUGUAUUUCAGAAUCUUUACCCCACACCCUACUCUCCAUCCCACACCUUUGUUUAGCACCUCUUUACUCGACAACAAGGCUUCUCCAAAUAAGAGAGGGAUUGUACCUAAUUUUGCUUCCAUGAAAACCCAUUUUCUUGCUAAAUUUUGGCUACUAUUGAAAUUGGAUCCUGCAAUAUUCGCCAACCUUGUUUAGCUAGCAAGUCUUGAUCAACACCUUUUCGUGUUGUUUCUUUUUUUUUCUUUUUUUCCUCCGACAGAAAACAAAUUGUUGUGCCAUCCUUUAAUCUUCUUCAGCACUCUUAGUUCUACCUCAUUGAACAAGCCUUUUUAUUUUUUAGUUUCCCCACCAUUGAUGGUAAUCUCAAGGGUUAGGAAGAAUAAUGAAUACUUUAUAAAUGGUGGAGAAGAUAAGACAGGAUAAGCUACAAAAAAGGAGAGACAACGCCUAAGGAAGAACCUCAAAACACUGUUUUCAAGGAUCGUCCAAUCUCUAAUCAGUGUUGUUGUUGUUAUGGCGACUGUGACGGUUAUAGAAGUAAUUUUUAUUAAAAUACGUUUGUAUUAGUUUCAUUUAAUAUCUUGAUUUUCUUUUUUUAAUUAAAAAGUUUUUGAUAGCUAUGAGGGUUAUGCCACUUGAUGUUUUGAGGAAAAAAAUGGCAGGAGAUUAUAAACAACAUAAAAAUUAAAAUUUAUACGACAAAAUCUAUCAUAAAUCUUAUGGCUAAUCAAAUGAAAAUGAGUUGUAUGUGACUAGGCUAAAAUUGCGAAGCGGCCUUUACAUUCAUCAAUGAUAGUGCCAAAAUUCAAAAUUUACCGGCAAACAGUCAUUCUCAAUACAUUUUGCAACCAUAUAUACACACUCCAAAAUCUAAGAAUAUAGAAGUUUGAAAUCACAGUUUUAUUUUCUUUAAGGGAAAAAUAAAAGAGUUAAUGAAAAUACACGAACAUUUUUCACCUACCCUCUCCAACGAGGUCAUGUAGAAGGGGUUUACCAUUUCUUGAUAAAUGCUCAGCUUCGGCCACUAUACUUGUGCUCGAUGAUGAAGUGUAAUGGCUGGUAUCAGUCCCUUUAGUAGCUUCAUCAGUCCUUACAAAGCUUGUAAUGUCAUCAAAUUUCCAAUCUGUCAAGUACCCCGGCUUUGCAGUUACCGUGCUUACUUCCAUAUCUCCACAUAGCAUAGCAACCACACGGGACAUCGAUGGCCGUAAUGAUGGCAAUGUCUGAGUACACAAAAGAGCCACUCCUAUCAGACGUUUUACCUCUUCCUCGUUAAAUUCUAUUAGCUUUGGGUCCGCCAAUUCUAUUUCUUGGUUGUUCUCGUGUAGGUGCCAAGCCUAGGAAGAAAGAAAAAAUGAUAGAAACUUUAGUGGGUAUCAUAUGUAGCAACGGUUGGUUCACAGAUUAGGUGUAGAAAUUCUUAUUUCUCAUACCCAUUCAAGAAGAUAAAGCUUCUCUUCGUCCAAGCUUGGAUCAGAGUUUGGCCUCCCACUAACAGUCUCGAGAGCGAGAACUCCGAAGGCAAACACAUCAGUCUUCUCUGUAAGGUGUCCACGCAUGGCAUACUCCGGUGCAAGAUACCCACUGUACCAAAAGAGGAAAUGUCUCAAACGAAUGUAAAGAUAACGAACUUACGAAUUUAGGAACAAAAGUAGAAAUGGGAAACUUGGCGGAUUCUUACAUUGUACCGGCAACACGGGUGCUUAUGUGAGUCUUCUUAUCAUCGUAUAGUUUUGCCAAUCCAAAAUCUGAUAUUUUGGGGACGAGAUCAGCAUCAAGUAGAACGUUACUAGCCUUGACAUCUCUGUGUAUGAUUCGAACCCUUGACUCCUCAUGGAGAUAAGCUAGACCUCUUGCAACCCCUGAGCAAAUUUCAUAGCGGGUUGCCCAAUCAAGAUUCAAACUCCGUUGUCCUAAUUCACAAAAACCAUGUUAAGUGUCUAACUCUUUUCGAUAUCCCUAAUGAGAAACAGAGGAUCACUGCAUAAAUGCCUAUAUAAUACCAAAUAAUGCUUGAUCGAGACUCUUGUUUUCCAAGUACUCAUAAACAAGGAGUCGUUCUGCUCCUUCAAUGCAGCAUCCGUGCAAUUUCACAAGGUUGCGAUGCUGCACAGCUGAUAUAGUAGCAAUUUCAGCAACAAACUGGCUCUUCCCCUGGCGGGACGCCACAGACAAUUGUUUCACAGCUAUUGCCCUUCCAUCACCAAGCUUUCCCUAUUAAGCGUAAAGGUUGAAAUCAAACUUGUUAGCUAAUCACAACAUGAGGCAUCAGGGAUGUAACAGAAGCUAAGAUGGGAUGUAUGGAGUUGUUGAUCACAUUAUGUAAGGCUGAGGAGGAGGCGCUGCCGUUUAACAAAUUAAUGUAAUGGAAUAUAAUGAUACUUACCUUAUAAACCGGUCCAAAACCUCCCUCUCCAAGCUUAUUUGAAGGACUAAAGUUUUCUGUAGCGGUCUUUAGUUCAGCAUAACUGAAAGUGUAAGGUCUAGCAUCCAUCCCUAGGAGCUCUGCAAAUUCAACAACAAAAAUAGCUAACAGUCAUACACUUGCAUGUCUAAUCAAAAUCUUUAGUAGAUAAAUUGUAAGGUUGUAGAUGUUUUACCUUCAUCAUCAUCGUGCUGUGGCCUUUUUCUUCUUCGAACAAUGCAGAAAAUUGCAAGAACUGAUAGAAAGGUUGCAACCCCAACACCAACAACAAUCCCAACAAUAAGACCUGUUCUAUUAUUAUCCUUUUCUUUCGGAGGUCUCACGGUAGGUGUGAAAUCUGUAUCAAAGCUCAGUAAUCAUAACUCUAAACAAUAAUGCAAAGAGUGUUAAAGAAAAUAAGGGUAAUUAAAAUUAGUAUUACCUGGGGUCACCCUGAUGGCGGAAAUAGAAGGUCCAUACGUACCUUGAGCUGGAACACAACAGGUCCCUUUCCCAGCCCAAAACAAGUGGAUUUCCAAGUAGUUUUCUGAAACCCGAGUCUUAAUUUCUCUCUGAAUAGCUCUUUUAGAGACUCCACCUGCUUCCCUUUUUAUGUCGAAAUCCUUUAAAACACGAUUGCCCUGGAAGAAACAGACACAACAAGAUAAACAAAAUGCGGCUUGAGAAAUUAUCAUGACGGCGUAUGAAAGAUUUGAUGACAUUAUCCCAACUUCAGCAUUGAGAAUGAAGAGAAGCUAAUAAAUGAUUCCCAAAGCAGUAUUAAAAUACAAUACAAACCUGGAUAUAAACAUCAAAAACACGCCUGCCAAGACUCUCCCAUCUGUUAGUAUCUAAAAUAGCCAUUUCUGCGAACUGGAGGAGCACGGUGUAGUUUCCAUUUUCAAGGCCUAAACCAUAGUACCUUAGGGAUGAAGCAGAGAGUCUCGCCGUCUGGAAAAGCUCUGAGUCCAGAGUAUUAGUGAACUGAGACAAAGAAGAACUUUUGUACUGGGGAUUAUUGCUCCCAGUAAAUAAUCCAACGUUACUAACUCCCCAGUUGUCUGAGUCAGUCACAUAAUACGUUGCUGGACCGAGAGUCUCAUUAUCCCUCUCGUACACAACACCAUUAGAAGACCUAAUUUGACGACCGCCAGACUUGAUAGCAAAGUCAGCAUCUGCAUACAAUUAUAGCCACGUAUCAAAGUAAGUUCAGAACACGUAUGCAUCAUGGUAAAAUAGAGCCUUCCCUUAGACAUUGAUCACUAAUAAUGCAUUCAACUCUUAAAACAAAGGUAUGGGGAAGUUGUACUUACAGAUCGCAUAGCCUCGGUUGCAUGGAAAGUUCCGUUGGAGACAAAUCAGGCCUCGAGGCAAAACACUGAGGGAAGUAAAAGAAGAUGAAUUUACUUUAGUUCCGGAGCUUUGGAAUUGUGACAAAUACCAAGAAGUGGGAACUAAUGUAUUAGAAUAUAACAUAGAAACAAGAUAAACUCACCUGUUGUCAGAACUUCUUAUUGUUAAAUUAUUGGCAACUAGGUUACUGCAUAUUGCACCAAUAAAUUCCGAUUGUUAGUUUCAUCAUAAUUGAAUGUAAAUAGAAUGCAAUAAUCCAUUGUUAGAAAUGAAAGUUCUGAAUGAUUGUUCGAGAAGUUACUCGAGAGCUAGUAGAAAAGAUUAUUUUGAGAAGUAAAUAAACGUAUUGAAACUUUUAAAUAGAAAAGAAUGAUUUGUGAUAUAUAACAGUACAUAAACUAAAAUUUCAAGACUCACAUCUGCAGAUUUUGUUGGCCAUUGAUCCAGGAAGGAAGGUUGCCUUGCAAAUUGUUGUAUGACACAUCUCUGCAAGAAUAAGGGGAUGAGAAUGUUAGUUACACAAUCAGCAUUUGGUACCAUCCAGCUGAUGCAUUAAGUUCAGAAUAUUAUAUCUACUGUGCGCUGUAAUGUUUGAUGCAAAUUUACAAUUAGUACUUACAUAUUCAAAAGUAAUGGACUUUUUCGUGCAGGCAGGGUACCAUUUAACUUAUUAUUUCCAAGAAACCUGUGUACAAGAAAGCAGUGUUACCUAAUUUAGAAAAAAAACAGAAUGCAUAUCAGAAGGUAAAAGACACAAAACAAGCGGAGACUGAACAUUACAGGUGAGUCAGCGAACUCAAAUUGAAUAGCGAGUCAGGAAUGCUGCCGCCCAGAUUAUUGAAACUCAAAUCCCUGAAGAAAAAAAGGUUACAAUUACACGGUUAUAAGAUGCACAAAACUAGAGCGGGCACUUUCUAUCCUAUAUCUGCUAGCCCGACCAUUAACGGAAUAACUUACAGAUGCUGCAAGCUUCGGUAUUCUCCAAUAUUGGAUGGAAUCGAAUCAGAAAUGUUGUUGUUCCUCAACUCUCUGCAGUACACACAACCGAGAUUCCAGGUUAAUGCAAGAAGGAAAAGAAAAUCGAAAAAGGACAAGUGUGUAUGAGGUAUAACUAGAUGUCAUAUUAGAAUUUGUAAAAGUGCUGCCUUACAAGAUACUCAGAGACUUCAUAUCCCUUAUAAAUGCUAGCUUCGAGCUUCCAUUGGAUAAGUCACUUAUUCUCCUGCAUUUAUCAUGAUACGUUGGCUUUAAUUAGUGCAAAACAUAAACAACAGCAACAGCAAUGAGAGGAUGCAGCAACUCACAGCUCUGUCAGAGAAGUUAGAUUGGAAAAGGAUGAUGGUAUUGGACCGUUGAAAGAGUUUCCCUGAAACCUCCUGCAAUAAUAAAUAACGAAGAAAACUUAAACCUUUCAUAAUUUACGGAUCAUUAAUGAAAAAGAAAACAAAGGAAAAAUUCAAUAAUUUGUUCCUCACAAGGCAGUGAGCUUCGACCAAUUCCCUAUAAAAUCAGGUAUCCUUCCUGUGAGUCGUGUGUCCGAAGCCCACCUGAGAACAACAAAAGUAUUAGUUAAAGAAGAUUUAAUCCAAUCUAUAUUAUAAAAUUCUAUCUUGUGGAUUUACAUCAGUCAAAAUGCUCUUACCAUUUAGUCAGGCUCUGUAGAUUGGCAAAGCUCGAAGGAAUCUCGCCACUAACUCCAGCACUAUCAAUGUAUCUGUCAAGAUAAAGAAUCGACAUCUAAAUGGGCGUCCAGGGUGAUGAAUGCUAAAUAUACAUGCAGAUUUUUUUUGGGCAAAAAUUAAACACAAAGUUUAUGAGGACUUACAAUUCCUGUAAUUUCGAUAGGCUUCCAAGCUCAGAAGGCAGAGGACCAGAAAAAUUGUUUGUGCCGAUACCACUACAAUUAAAAAGCAAAACGAAGUGAUCAACGAUAGCCCCAUAAGGAUUUAAUUCUUCCGCCAUUUAAAAUUACAUAUGCUUUAAGGAGGAUAAAGAUUUGAACUUACAGAAUUAGUAACUCGGUAAGCUGUCCGAGUUCUUUUGGAAGCUCCCCUGAUAAAGCAUUAAUGGCAAGGUUCCUGAUCAUCAUCAGAACAAAAUGAUCAGAGGAAAAAAAAAAGAUUAUCUAACACAUUUGUCAUUUCCAAUGAGUUUUUAAAUCAAACACUGGAUCAGCCUACAGGUAUUGCAUGGCAGUGAGAUUGCCGACGGAUGGGGACAGCGGACCUGUUAAGUAAUUCUGGCCCAGGUUCCUGUUACAAGGUGGAAAAUUGUCAAAUUAUUCAAGGACAGCCAUGCAAAUCAAUAUUACUCUCGAAUUUGCAUUUUAAAAUACAUGAACGUCUGCACUUAAGGAAUAUAUAUAUAUAUAUAUAUAUAUAUAUAUAUAUAUAUAUAUAAACAUACAGAUUGAAGAGGGAAGUCAGAUUCCAUAGUUCAUCUGGUAUCACACCAACCACAUUCAGCGCAUAAACUUUCCUGUACACGAAAGUUGCAAAAAGAAAGGAAAAAAAAUUAAUAAUAAUGAUAAUCAGCAAGUAUGAAAAGAAAGAUAUACCGAUAUGAUCAAACAAUUCUUGCAAGUGUAUUCCCAUAAAAUAAAAUAAAAAACUUACAACUGGGUAAUGUGGCACACGGUGCCAUUUUGGGAAGAGCAGUCACAUUUGAUGAAGGGAUUGUAAUCGGUGUUAUCGAAGACAAUGGAAUCAUCGAGGGCAGCUCCAGUGCAAGGAUCCCCGCUUCUGUUCCAUUGACCUUGCCGUGCCGAGAUUCUCCAUUGUUGAAAUAUUGAAUUCAACGCCCUCACUGUCAUCAAGUUUCAAAAGUUGCAUGCAAGUUGCUCUAAGUUUCAAAGUUCUUCUAUGGCCAAAACAAAAUUAAAUAAAAUACUUUCCACUCUACUGCAAUUGGCGACGGCCGUUCUUUGCUUAAUUUUGAAAGCACAACAACUGGUUAGGCAUUUCAUAAACGCAAACUAUUAUUCUGCAACUAAUGCUUCUCAAACACCCGCACCAACUUUUGGUUCUAAUCAUGUUAGUAAGUUUUCAUGACAAAAACACUGGAAAUAAUGAAUUUUUUUAUAAGCUAAGGUUUGGUAAAACAAGAAACAAAAAUGGAGCAUAAAAAGGUAAUAUAUUCAUAAUUUAACAACCAAACAAAGUUUAAGAAAUUAAAAGCUCCUGAGCCCGUCAUAACUUAAAAAAAGAGCAGCAAGCAUAUAUAUAUACACACACACACACACACCUUCAUUAGGAUCUGUGGUAGCUUGAGUUCGGUUCUGAGCUUGACAUAAACAAAAAUGGACAAAUAGGCAAACAAAACACAGAGCGAAACCGGAAACUGGUGGCAGUGAUCUUCUCAACAUGUUGAAUUGAGAUCCAACUCUAGCUCUCUUACUAUGAAGCCUGAGAUGUAUUGUUGCUUUGUUCGUAUGGUGAGAUAUGUAUUAAUGGGUUGAAUCCGAGUAGAUGCGCAACAUGUUAAUCUAAUGGUUAAAAUACAAGACAAUGAAAAGUAUUGGAUUCAGGUAGAGACGCACAUAACAACUUUGACAUUUGGAGUAUGCGUUCUUUAAUGGUGACUAUAUAUAUGGAAUUUAUUAUUAUUAUUACAACAAAUUUAUAAUAUCUAUCUUUCAUAACAUUACAUACGUCGAGGCUGAUCGUGAUCGGUCAACAGCCACCAUCCAUGUUGGCUGCUACUUACUCUCUGGCUAAGUCUUGCUCACGUGCUCUCAUAAAGAAAAUGACGAUACAACUAGCAACUUCACCAAUCGUAUAAUUUUUUUUUUAAAAAAAAGACACAUAAUAAAUUUAAAGAUAAAUUGCAAAAUUUAACAUGAAUAAUGUCGUCUAUUAGAUCAUUUAUUAUGAAAAGUUGUCCAUUAAUUUUAAGAAAAUGUCAAUAAAAUACAUCUUCGGACGGAUACCAUAUAAUCUCUUGUACAAAAAAAAAGGUCAAUAAACACAGGCACAUAUAUAGAUGCAUAUAUAUAUAUAUGUGUGUGUGUGUGUGCAAAUUUUUUUUUGAAAGAAUAUAUGUGCAAAUUAAAUAUAAAAAAUUGGCUUAUGCAUAGGUUAAAUAAUAAUAAAAAACCAUUUAUUAUUAUUAUUAUUAUUAUUAUUAUUAUUAAUUUAUCAUUAUUAUCUAUGGUUGUUGCGUUUAAAACAAUAUCUGAUCUUGACUGGUAUCUCGGACACAUCAACAAUUUUGUUUGGUACACCAAAAUGCGGAAACACAUUAAUAUUUUUUAUAAUUCGAGGGUGGUCAUAUGUAUAUUAACGCCCGCAAGCAUUUAAUCAUCCAUUUCAAUAUCUCAACUCUUCUAUUUUCAUUUUUUUUUUCUUUUUUGUGAACUACUAUUAUUAUCACAUAGAUAAUUACGUGCUAAAUAUUUCUCGUGUAUAUAAUGAUAAAAAGAAAUUGUAAAAUAUUGACCGGUUCAUGAAUUGAAAAAUCCAUGAAAAUAAAAAGUAAACAACGUAUAAAGAGAGAGUGUGAAAGUUUAGGGUUGAUAUAUAAAACUGCUAAAGCCGCAAAACCGAAGGUCAAAUUGAGGUAGAGAAUUUGGAGAAGGUGGGGUUAAUUGGUUCUCAUCAAGUUGAUGAUGGUGAUAUUACUUAAUGGCAAUUAAAUCAUCAUCGUCAUCAAUGAAUAAUUAAUUAAAAUACAAUUUUGCUGCGCUUACAUUUCAGAUUAACUUCUUCCCAUUACUUUUCAAAAGUCUUGGCGUUGUUUUCUGAAAGCAAAUAUAUGUUUUAUGAUUGUCGGCGUUAAAUUAAAUGCACCAUUUUCACCGACGUAAUGGCAUGAACGGGUCAAUAUUCCAAUUCCUCCCCCGCCCAACAAAUUUUGUCCCCAUUAAACUCAUCAUUCUGCAACCGUAACGAAUCAGGCGGUUACAUACUAUGUCACUUUAAAAAAAAAAAACAAUUUAUUUCCUGAAAUUCAAAGCCUAUAUCAUAUCCAUCACCUGGUUAUCAUCGAUUCAUCAUCUCAACUCUCUAGGUGCCACCAUUUUAAAUAUUCUAUUUAAACUUAGUCUUUUUUUUGUAUUAAAUCAUCUGGUAUUCGAAAACCACAUUAGGACCCGAUUAAUUCAUAUUUAAACCGAAUAUGACCCCUAGGACGGCAAAGCUCUUCCAAUAAGUAUUUAACGCAGCUGCACUCCCAAAUUUCGAACCGAAGACCCUGAUUAAGUUAGAACAGUCACAUGCCAACUGAUCUACGCGCUUGUUAGUCUUAUUUAUUUAUUUAUUUUUGUUAUGGUUCUGACGAAAGUAAUAAAAUAUCUUCUUGACUAUUUUUUCGGAAUUUGUUUUUGAAAACUUUUAAGAUCAUCUUGUUUGUUGUUAAAAUUCAACUUAUAAUUAAUGAUAAAAGAAAUUUUGGGCACUUUUUAUAUUUCUUUGAGCAUUAAACUUGUUGAAUAAAAUAAAAUCUCAUAAAAAGUAUUCACCUAAGGCUCCAAAUACUCUAGAUUGUCGCCUCCUCACUCCUCGCCUUUCGACAUUAUUAUUGCGGUCGAAGUUCAGAUUGCUUCAUUGUGGAAUUGGAAUUUUCUCCUGAUAUGUGAAUGGCUCUCUCAUUCUUUUGCACAGAUUUCUGUACAAAUAAAUAAGCGGGUCUCACGAAAAAUUGAGCCAAUCCAAUAUAUUUAUGCUUUACCAAGUCCAUCAUAGGCCUAUGCAAACCUGAAGUAGCUUCACCCAAACUUAUUGGGUUUAGAGAUUGGGUUUGGUCAACAAUUACUAACGACACCCUUUUUGACACACGCACGCAUACACACAAUCUAAAAGCCUUGUGGGUGCCUUCAGCAAUAUAUUCUAGUGCCCUUUGUGGGCCUCUUUACAGUUCUACAAAGAAUUUUUUAAAGAAAAUUUCAUGCCAUUAAUUAUUGGGCUUCGUGGUACUAACUGAAUCUACAUAUUCUAGGUUUCCUUUUUUGUGUUUUUCCCUGCUUGUUUAACUUGUUUGCUAAGUUGUAAUUCCUAACCUACCAAGACAAUCUCUGGAUUAAACAUCCAUAAUUUAAGUAAAUAAAUUGCUAAAAAAUGAAUUUUUGUCUCUUUAGUUUAAGCAACUCACUUUUUUUUUAAAAGAUUUUUAUUUUUAUUAUAAUUUGUUUUUUUUUUAAAAAAAGCUUUAAGAAGGAUUGAAAGUUGCUUAAAUUGCUAGAUUUCCUUCUUUUCUUUUAAUCACAAAAAAGAAAAAGAAAAAAGAAAAAGAGAGUGAUUGAAAGUUGUUUUCUAGAACAACUUCCCCAAGGCUUUCUUAGAGGCAACUUUCUUUAUUUUUUUCAAUUGUCUUCGCCUAAAUUGAUUACAAUUUUAAGUAAAUUAAUUGAUAAAUUGAAGACCAACUCUUCCUAGCUACGACAUUUUCCCCUCAUUUUUUCAGUCCAACAUAUUUAAUGACUUCUAGAAGGAUCUUCAACUAAUUCAAUCCCUUGUCGGGUAUAAAAAUCAACGUAUAAAUCAAAAUGAGUCCAAAAUUAUACAAUAAAAUCAUAACAAAUGGGACCCUAAGAGACUCAUUCUAUUUGUCAUCCUAGUUAUAAUCACUAGAUUAUGUCUUCAUCCAACCUAAUUUUUGCAAGAAAAUGUCAAAAUUGCAAUCACGUGGACGAAGAAUUCUCACAUCAACUUUGCUAUUUAAGUCCAAAAGAAUAAAAUUUCUCACCAAAAUAAUUUCAAUAGAAAUUUCCAAACCCAACUCACCUACUUAUCACAUUCAAAAUGUAUGAUAAAUGCAAGCCAAUUUCCCCUUGAAGUUUGUCGUAUUUGUAAUUUGGCCUUGAUUCAUGAAUAAAUUUUUAAUGUCACCUCUACACUUAAAAGUUUUUAUCACUAAAUAAAACAAGGGUAUAUGUUUCAGUUUAAAAAACAUACAUACGGAUCAAAUUGUAAUUUUUUUGAACCUUAAAACGGAAAACAUAAAUAUAAUUUUCCCAUGCUACACAACUCAUAUUCUUCUUCUUUUUCCGAAUAUAAAAAUUAAUUCGCCCUAUUUCAAUAAUUAUUUUUUAAAUUCUGUAUGUCUUGAUGAUUUUAUGGAUCCAACUAUGGUGUAAUUGUGGUGUACCACUGUUACUUUCAGCCAUUGAAUCCAGCUAUAGUAAGAAUAAAUGAUUGGAUUCAAUGACUGAAUGCAAUUGUAAUAUAAUACCACAGUUGCACCAUAACUAAGUCCUGAUUUUAUUGAAUUAACAACAGAUCUACAAACCAUUUAUGAGCAACUAAUAAGAGUCUCAACGGAACCAUACCCUAGAGGGGUGGGCGCCAUGACCUAAUUUCUGAGGGCAGACUAACUUUCUGUGCUUGUGCUGCAGCCGGCAUGCAUGCUUUGCAUGUACGGUCGUGCUAUCAACUUUUGUUGCAAUGAAUAAAUUGAGUCAAAGCUUGGACUAAUUUCUAUUUAUUUAUUUAUUUGCUUACUUGACAUUGAUUGGAGGAUUGAAGGUUUGAACAUUUUGCGAUGUGUCAUCAAUUGUGGUGGGUGAGUCCGAUUGAACAUUGUUGACUAACUCCACAAAAAAAAAAAAAAAAAUCUCCAAUAACUAUAAGUCAAUAAAGAAAUUAAUUCAACAACCAUCAAAUGCAGAUUUUUUUUUAAAUAUGUCUAUAAUUAAAAAGUUAAAUUAUAACAUUAAUAUUAAAAAUAGUUCAAUCUCACAAACCAUCAAUUGAAUUUAAGAUAAGUAGAAUUUUAUUAUUCAUUGAGUUAUAAUCUUUAGUAGUUAAAUUUUUAUUUUUUACUUCAUUAACAUACCAAUAAUGAUAUUCAUCAUAUGAGUGAUUGAAUUAUCGUAAGUUACACAUGUGAGAAAAGUUAAUAGAUUAUUCUAAAGAAAAAAAGUUUAAAAAAUUGUAAUAAAAUAACUUAAUUAUAACAUCUAGGGUUAAAAUUGCAUGACCAAAAAGAUCAUAAUAUUAACAUGCAUCAAUAUAAGUAGCUAGUCUUUAUUAUGUCAUUAAUUGAGUUAAGGUUUGCAAUAUGUUAAGAUUGAUAGGGUAAUUGAUAAUUGUUGAUGCGGGAUUCCGGUUCUCCUCGUUUUACGACCAGGAUCUCUGCUCGAUCAACGUCAUCACGACCAGGGGGUCUCCUCGCAAGGCUUCUUCUCCAGAGGUUCCUGCGCACACAGACAAGUCAGAGUACGCCGGUUAUUUUCCCGGCGCAAACCCUCCGACGCUCAAGUCAGAUAUGAAGGUUCGGGGAACGCUUGCCACAGAUCUUAUGGCUUUUUCGUGGUUUUCUCUUCUUUAGAAUUUCUUUUCUAAUCUCAAAAAUGCUAACCCCUUUACCUUCGUUGGCUACCUUUUUAUAGGCUUCCUCUGAAUCCCAGUUUUCCGCUUUUUUUGAGACGGUAUGGGACUCUGACUGCUGCGUUAUGGGCAAACGUGGGAUCUUGCGUGUUACGCCACGGUUCUGGGGAAAGCGUGGCUGUCGUGGUUCUGUGAGAUCUUAUUUCCGCUUUUUUGGGGGACAGUAUGGGACUCCGACUGCUGCGUUAUGCUGCGUUAUGGGCAAACGUGGGAUCUUGCGUGUUACGCCACGGUUCUGGGGAAAGCGUGGCUGUCGUGCCUAGAUUCUCGGGUCUGGAGAGCAUGUCUUGCCAACUGCCGUCGACCGGGUCUCCUCGCCUCUCGACCUCUAGCCGGAAUGGCCUUAUGCCUCUUACAGGAAAUUUGCCUCGUGGAUGACGUGCUCGUGGACGAGCAGGAUAUUUCUGCUCCUGUUCCCCCGCGCACCAGGCUUUUACGGAACACACCGGUUCGCAGAACUCUGCCAUCAGAUAUCUGCUCACCAUGCCUGGUCUCGUCGACGUAUUUCUCCCAAACACCGGUCCCCCAGUUUCUGGUGUUGGGUAAUGUAGUGGACCAGCAGUAGAAACUCGUUAGUACUCGCUCGCGUGGGAUUGGAAAAGGCUGCCAAGAGUCACGUCGCAUUUAAUUGCGGACGAGGUGACGUGGCAGAAAUCCCCCCCUCCAUUUGAAUUUCAAACCGACGGUUAUGAGACCCUCGGGAUUCGGCAUUCCUAUCGUUGCAUCAUGGCCGUCCUCGGGAAGCAACACCCUGAUCUGAAGAUGGAUGAUCUUGCAGCUGGUGUUGCUCAACAUAUGGACGAGGAGGCGGCCAAGGAAGAUGCCGAAGGGGUAGAGCCGAUCGUGAUUGAGGAGGAAAGCUCUCCUCCUCGUGCAGUCCCUGCUGAUGUUGGCGAGGCGAGCACCCCCCCGGACGCAACUGGUGAUACCCCUCCUGCACCUGAGGAGGUCCAGCCAACCGAUGCUGCUGGGCUUACUGAUCCACCACCUUUUUGAUAUAUUUCUUGUAUUGUAAUGAACAAUGUUCAUGAAGAUUAUCCCCUCUGUUAAUUAUUAACAAAUUAAUAAAAAUGUUUUUUGAUUACUUUCGUUUGAGAAUCUGCUUGUCUUUGUCUAGACGAGCAGGUUCCGGCUUUGCUCAUGGUUUUGCCACAUGCCUUUGAAGAUUCUUCAAUGCCUGGGAUUCGGCUCGCCUUCGCGCGGUCGAGCAGAUCCUGGCACGCUUGGCAUCUGUCUCGCCAUAAAACAGGCUUUGAGACUUGGUGAGCCUUCGCAUGCCUCAGGAAUUUCUUCGAAUGCUUUGGAGUCUGCUCGCCUUCUCGUGGUCGAGCAGAUCCUGGCAUGCUUGGCUUCUGUCUCGCCAUAAAACAGGCUUUGAGACUUUGUCGAGCCUUUGCAUGCCUUGGAUUCUUCGAGGAUUGGGAUUCUGCUCGCCUUCUCGUGGCCGAGCAGAUCCUGGCAUGCUUGGCUUCUGUCUCGCCAUAAGACAGGCUUUGAGACUUUGUUGAGCCUUUGCAUGCCUUUGAUUCUUCGAGGAUUGGGAUUCUGCUCGCCUUCUCGUGGCCGAGCAGAUCCUGGCAUGCUUGGCUUCUGUCUCGCCAUAAGACAGGCUUUGAGAGUUGUCGAGCCUUUGCAUGCUUUAGAUGAUUUCUUCAAAGCUUGGGAUUCUGCUAGCCUUCUCGUGGCCGAGCAGAUCCUGGCAUGCUUGGCUUCUGUCUCGCCAUAAACAGGCUUUGAGACUUUGCGAGCCUUUGCAUGCCUUAGAUGAUUUCUUCAAAGCUUGGGAUUCUACUAGCCUUCUCGCGGCCGAGCAGAUCCUGGCACGCUUGGCUUCUGUCUCGCCAUAAAACAGGCUUUGAGACUUGGUGAGCCUUUGCAUGCCUUAGGAAUUUCUUCGAAUGCUUUGGAGUCUGCUCGCCUUCUCGUGGUCGAGCAGAUUGUUGAGUGUUAGAAAAUGCAUAUUUAUAAAGGAGAAAACCGUCAUUUUACAUUUUAAGUCUUACUAACAACCCUUACUUUUAUAUAUUUAACCUUCUUGUGAUUUAAUUACAUGUGUUUUAUUUUAAUUAAGUAUUUUAUGUAUUUUAGGGGCAUUAUAGUCAUUUCACAAUAAAGGAGAGAUCAGACGACAAAACGGACAUCACUUUUGAACUCAGGACGGUCGAAAACCUUAGGAGGAGCAUAAAAGGAAAAAUGGCACUAUUCACAUGUACGGUACUAUUCACGUGUACGGUACUGUAUACGUUACUGUUCACGACACUGUUUACAUAGACGGAUGAUGACGUGGUAUUGACCGAUGAUGUGGCAUUGACUGAUGAGGUGUCACGAUCCUGUUGGACCAAAAUUCUUAUGUACUGUUGAUGGUGACGUGGCAGCAUAUCAGUGGACGAAAAAUCUCGCGUACGGUGCAUGCAUCACACAGGAUUAUUUUCAACCAAACCGCGUUACUGUUCAUCCGGGUCAAACCGCGUUACUGUUCAAAGUCGGGUCAAACCGUGUUACUGUUCAUCCGCGUGGUCAAACCGUGGACUGUUGACUGAUGACGUGGCGCAAUCCUGAGCGUCCAAACUGUUUUUAAUCCGAUGGCCAUGAUUUACUCCAUGUAUCUAUAAAAAGGGGGCCUCCCCCCCCUAAUUUGAGAUCUCUGAAUCCAUUUUUGGACUCUGUUUUCUGUAAUUCCCUCUCCAUCUUGUAUUUUCUUUGUAUUUUAAUAAAUUCCUAUUUUGCCCCUAGUUCAAUUAUGAGUGGCUAAUUUUCUUUCAAGCUUGGGUUGAAGGUGAAGUCUCAACAUGUGUCAUGGGCUUAAUUUGGUAAAUUUAUUUUCUCUUCCCCUCUAGUUUUUGUGGAUGUUUUGACUUCUCGUCGACAAAUAAUACUAAUCUUGUCUAGUACCGCCUUGGUUUCACCGGCCCUCUAGUAUAAGGUUAUUAUUUGGCACGAUAAGCCCUUAGCACCAUAUUGAUUAGAGCGUGGUUCAUGAGGUGUGGAUUCCCCCCUCAUGAUUUAAUUGGCAUUAAUAAGGAAUAUUUAGCCCAUGAUGCAUGUUGAUACGGAUCCAGAUACCCAAGUACGUCAUUUCAAUAGAAUUCUCUUCAAUUUAUUCUCACCAUUUCAAUACCAAUUUUAGAAUUUAUUCUCUCCAUUUUAAUUUAAGUUUUAGCAUAUUCCAAUCAUUUCCACCACAAAUCCAAUCACCCAUUCACAAAAUUAAUUCUACACAAUUAAAAUCCACCUCCUCGUGGGAUCGACACUCGUCACCAUUAAUCUAUACUACAACAGAUUCGUGCGCUUGCGAGUACAUUAAAAUUUGCACAACAAGUUUUUGGCGCCGUUGCCGGGGAGGUAAGUAAUUUUAAUUCAUAGAAUUAAUUUUUGUGAAUAAUUUCUUUUAUUUGUUUUCUUGUAUUUUUUUUUAUUAUUAAAAAAAAAGUGAAUCUACAUUUAAAGGUUAGUAUUUCUUUUCUUUUUCUCUUCUUUAAAAUUUUGUAAUUUAAUUUUCCAUUUAUUUUUCUUUGUAAUUUUUUUUUUGUUUAUCUUAUUAAUUUAAUUUUUAGUUAAUUUCUUUCACGUAUUUAUUUUUGUGUAUUUUUAUAGAAAGGUUGUAAUAGCGCAAUAAGGUUAGUAUCGUAAUUUCUCCCUCUUCUUUAUUUUUAUUUGUUUUGUUCCCAUCUUUAUUUUUUGUUUUGUUUGCAUCUUUAUUUUUAUUUUAUUUAUUUUGCAUGCAUGGUCGUAGGUCAUUAUUACCUAAUCUUGAACCUAUAGACCUUGAAUUAGAAAAAACACUUCGCACACACAAACACGUUAAAAAUAAAAUGGAUUUGCAACCACAAGAGAGGCCAUUUAAGGACUACUUCAGUCCCUUAGCUAAUUUGAGUACAUCAUGCAUAAGAUACCCAAAUGUAGCUGCUAGGAGUUUCGAAUUAAAACCUAGUGUGCUAAAUUGUCUCCCCACAUUUUAUGGCCUAGAAAAUGAGGAUCCAUAUAAUCAUCUGAAUGAUUUUCAUGCCAUUUGUCAAACUUUUAAAUAUGAAAAUUUUUCAGACGAUGAUGUCAAACUUAGACUAUUCCCAUUUUCUUUAAAGGACAGAGCUCGUUCAUGGUUAAAUACUUUACCUGCCAAUAGCAUUUCAUCAUGGGAACAAAUGGUUACAAAAUUUUUAAAUAAAUAUUUCCCAGUGCAUAAAACCAAUGCUAUUCGCAGGGAAAUCUCGGAGUUUACCCAGAGAGAGGACGAGCAAUUUUUCGAAACAUGGGAGCGAUUCAAUGGGCUACUCUUGAAGUGUCCACAUCAUGGGUACGAGAAAUGGCACCAAUGCCAAUACUUUUUGGAGGGAUUAUUGCCAAAUGUGCAAGAAUGGCUAAUGGCGACAAGUGGAGGAGAGCUAAUGUCAAAAAGUGCAUCAGAGAUUUGGGAAUUCUUCCAGCGACAAGCGGAUAAUUCCCAACAACGGAGUCGAUCACUCAGGAAUACUAGACGAAUUAAGGGAGUAAAUGAGGUUCAAAUUGGCGAGUCAACUUCGGGAAUCAAAGAAGUCAAGGAGAUGGUUGAAGGUCUUGCUCGACAAAUAGCAUCGUUAUCGACUGCUAAAUCAACAGAACCACAUGACCAGGACUCAUACUCAGAUCAAGCCAAUGCCAUAGGUGUAAUGAGAAAGCCAUCAAAUUACAACCCAUACUCCAACACAUAUAACCCUGGAUGGAGAGACCACCCCAAUUUUUCAUGGUCUUAAGGAUUCCAACAGAAUGGACCAGCAGCUCCAGCUCCACCAAUGCAACAAAUUCCUCAAGUUCCUCAAGCCUCUCAGCCCCCAUUCAGACCAUACAAUCAGAACCAGAACUACUCUCAACCCAGACCAUGGGAGGAUGCAUUCCAAAAUUUCAAGAAUGUUACUCACUCCACGAUUGAGCAACAGAAUCGCACCAUUGAUGGACUACGAAAUGAGUUGAGAGCAGGCUUCAAUUCACAAGCCCAAUCAGUUUCAAGCCUCGAGAAGAUGGUGGGACAACUUGCUUCUUCAGUUCAGACCUUGGCAAUGACCGUUGAGAAAGGUAAGUUUCCAAGUCAACCAGUGCCUAAUCCUAAAGGAGUACAUGAAGCAAGUACCAGUUCACCACAACAGCAUGGAGAGGUCAAAGCAGUAAUGACCUUGCGAAAAGGAAAAGAAGUCGACAACAAGGUGGAGAUGCCAGUGACAAAAGAAAAUCAAAUUGUACCUGUGAAUGUUGAUGACUCAUCACCGGAGGAGAAAGAAGAAACCAACCCACAAGAAUAUGUUCCCAAAGCUCCAUUUCCUCAGAGGUUAGCGAAAGGAAAAAAGGGAAAAUCCACAGGUGAGAUUCUUGAAAUCUUCAAACAGGUAAGUGUUAACAUCCCUUUGCUUGAUGCUAUUAAACAAGUUCCAUCUUAUGCCAAGUUUCUUAAAGACCUUUGUACUAAAAAGAGAAACAUGCAUGUUCAAAAGAAGGCAUUUUUAACAGAAAACGUUAGUUCUAUACUCCAACAUAAAAUUCCUUUAAAAUGCAAAGACCCAGGCUCCCCCACUAUCUCAUGUAGUAUAGGGAACCACACAAUUGAGAAUGCUUUGUUGGAUUUAGGAGCUAGUGUAAAUUUAUUGCCUUACUCUGUGUUUGUGAAACUUGGACUGGGAGAAUUACACCCAACUCCAGUGGUGUUACAACUUGCAGAUCGGUCCACAAAAAUACCUCGUGGUAUUGUGGAGGACGUGCUUAUCCAGGUAGACAAAUUUUAUUUUCCUGUUGACUUCAUUGUAAUUGACACUCAACCAAUACAGGAUUCAAGGAAGCACAUCCCCAUUAUUCUAGGCCGACCUUUCUUGGCAACUGCGGAUGCUCACAUUCAAUGUAGAACUGGAAAUAUGCAGUUGUCCUUCGGCAACAUGACUAUGGAGCUGAACAUCUUCAACAUUGCCAAACAACCUCACAGUGCAGAUGAUGGAAUUGUUGAUGUGGAUUUAAUCGAAGCAUUAGUUGAUGACACUUUUCUUUCAAACCUUAGUGAUGAUCCUUUACAAACAUGUUUAACUCACUUUGGUUUUGAUUUUGAUAUUGACAGAUCGGUUGAUGAGGUCAAUGCCCUGCUUGACUCAGCACCAUCUAUGGACACUAAUAAAUGGAAGUCAAGAGUUGAGCAACUAGCACCAUCAGAGAAGCAACUCAUUCCAUCAUCAGAAUCACCACCGAAACUCGAGCUCAAACCAUUGCCCAACACUUUGGAAUAUGCGUUUUUGGGAGAAGAAAGUACUCUACCGGUAAUCAUCUCAGCAUCCCUCAAUGACGAACAAAAAGGUAAGUUGUUGGAUGUUUUGAAAGAGCACAAAGGGGCAUUAGGAUGGACCAUAGCAGACAUUAAAGGUAUAAACCCAGUAGACUGCAUGCAUUACAUUCACCUUGAUGAAAAUGCUAAAACUACUAGGGAGAUGCAACGUCGGUUAAAUCCUAACAUGAAAGAAGUUGUUAGAACUGAAGUCCUUAAGCUAUUAGAUGCAGGUAUCAUUUAUCCAAUUUCUGAUAGUUCAUGGGUCAGUCCUGUACAAGUUGUCCCCAAAAAGUCAGGAGUCACAGUAGUUACGAAUGCUGAUAAUGAAUUGAUAGCCACUAGAGUAACUACAGGAUGGCGUGUAUGCAUUGAUUAUAGAAAGUUGAAUUCUGUCACACGUAAAGACCAUUUUCCUUUACCAUUUAUUGAUCAAAUGCUUGAUAGAUUAGCAGGCCAUGAAUUUUAUUGCUUUCUAGAUGGCUACUCAGGAUAUAAUCAGAUUCCCAUAGCACCAAAAGAUCAAGAGAAAACUACUUUCACUUACCCUUUUGGCACAUUUGCAUAUAGGAGAAUGCCAUUUGGAUUAUGUAAUGCACCUGCUACAUUUCAACGAUGCAUGCUAAGCAUUUUUUCUGAUAUGGUUGAACGAUUUCUUGAAGUCUUUAUGGAUGACUUUUCUGUCUUUGGUGAUUCGUUUGAUCAAUGUUUACAUCAUCUAACACUAGUUCUGCAGAGAUGUAUCGAGAAGAACUUGGUCUUAAAUUGGGAGAAAUGUCAUUUUAUGGUAAAACAAGGUAUUGUUCUCGGUCACAUCAUUUCGAGUAAAGGUAUUGAGGUUGACAAAGCCAAGGUGGAUCUCAUUUCUAAUCUUCCUCCACCCAAAACAGUCAGAGAAGUAAGAUCUUUCCUUGGGCAUGCUGGUUUCUAUAGACGUUUCAUUAAAGAUUUUAGCAAAGUUUCUAGACCCUUAUGCAAUUUACUUGCUAAGGAUGUACCUUUUAUCUUUAAUGAUUCAUGUCUUAUGGCGUUUGAAAAAUUAAAACAGUUGUUGACAUCAUCACCCAUCAUUCAGGCCCCGAACUGGAAAUUACCAUUUGAGCUCAUGUGUGAUGCAUCUGAUUAUGCAGUAGGAGCAGUAUUAGGACAAAGAGUUGAUCGAAUUCCCCAUGUUAUUUACUAUGCUAGUAUGACAUUAAAUGAUGCACAGUUGAACUAUUCAACUACUGAAAAAGAAAUGCUAGCAGUAGUGUUUGCAUUAGAAAAAUUUCGAUCUUAUCUCAUUGGUUGUAAAAUAAUUGUGUUCACAGAUCAUGCUGCUCUUAAAUAUCUUCUCACAAAGAAAGAUGCAAAAGCUAGACUAAUUCGUUGGGUGUUACUUUUGCAGGAAUUUGACUUGGAAUUCAAAGAUAAGAAAGGUUCAGAAAAUGUUGUGGCGGACCAUCUCUCUCGUCUCCAUUUUGACACAAUAAUAGAACAAUUACCAUUAAAUGAGUCAUUUCCAGAUGAACAAUUAAUGAAUGUGGAAGUAUUACCUUGGUAUGCUGAUAUAGUUAAUUAUCUUGUUACAGGUAAACUUCCAGAGCAUUGGACCAAGCAAGACAAGGCUAAAUUCUUUGCAGAGAUAAAGAAUUUCUUUUGGGAUGACCCGUAUUUGUUCAAGUAUUGUGCAGACCAAAUUGUUAGACGAUGUGUCCCAGAAAAUGAAAUUCAGAAUAUCCUUUCAUUCUGCCAUGAACAAGCUUGUGGAGGCCAUUUCAGUGCUAAGAAAACAGCGACUAAAGUUUUACAAUGUGGUUUCUAUUGGCCAACACUAUUUCGAGAUGCUUACACUUUUUGUUCUUCAUGUGAUAGGUGUCAACGAAUGGGGAGCAUUACGCGAAGGAACAUGAUGCCACUAAAUCCAAUUUUAGUGGUUGAGAUUUUUGACGUAUGGGGUAUCGACUUCAUGGGACCUUUUCCCCCGUCUUUUGGUCAUCAAUACAUAUUGGUUGCUGUUGACUAUGUAUCAAAAUGGGUAGAAGCUAUUCCAUGUAGGACCAAUGAUCACAAGGUGGUGAUAGCAUUUUUGAAAAGUAACAUUGUUUCACGCUUUGGAUUCCCUCGAGCAAUAAUCAGUGAUGCUGGUGCCCACUUUUGUAACAAAGCAUUCAAAGCACUUUUGACAAAGUAUUCAAUCACACACAAAGUGGCGACCCCGUAUCAUCCGCAAACCAGUGGCCAAGUUGAGAUCUCCAAUCGAGAAAUAAAGAACAUAUUAGAAAAGACGGUGAGGCCAGACAGGAAAGAUUGGUCAUUAAGACUUGAUGAUGCAUUAUGGGCAUAUAGAACGGCUUUCAAGACCCCGAUUGGGAUGUCACCCUACAGGCUAGUGUAUGGAAAAGCUUGCCACCUACCUGUGGAACUCGAGCAUCGUGCAUAUUGGGCCAUCAAGAAAUUCAAUUUUGACAUGCAGCAAGCCAGCUCAGAAAGAAGAUUACAGCUGGCAGAACUACAAGCAACGAAUGAAAGUCUUCCAUGAUAAGCAAAUUAUGAGAAAAUCGUUCACUCCAGGUCAGAAAGUGCUUUUAUUCAAUUCUCGCUUGCACCUAUUCCCAGGUAAGUUACGCUCUCGUUGGUCUGGCCCAUUUAUUGUUUAUACUGUUUUUCCACAUGGGGCAAUUGAAAUUAAAGACCCAAAGAAUGGUGUCACGUUUAAAGUUAAUGGUCAAAGAUUAAAGCCAUAUCUAGAGUACCAACCACAUGAAGAAGACACCGAAAUAAAUUUGAGUGACCCACCAAAUUUGAAUUGAUUUUUUUUUCUUUUCGUUGAUUUGAUUUUUCUUUCUUUCUUUUUAUUAUUAUUCUUUUGCUAAUUGAAAUUGUUUUUGCAUAAGUGUGUUUAUUUUACCAUUAAGUUUUCUCUUAUCAUUGUUAAUCAUGAGUCUCAUACUUAGACCGUUCCUCCUGAACAUUCUUAAACCACUUCAACGUGUCAAAACUCAUCUCAAAAGACAGAUUCAAUUUUGUAAAACACAUCGCAUUUGGACUCUACAACCACCAGAGUUAGUAGCCUAUGUUGAGGGUUUAGAACACCAACUCAGAGACAUUGAGAGAAGUGUUUACGACAUCCAGUUGGAGCUUGAGGUAAAUUCAAUAAGAGGACGAUUUUAAUUUUCUUUGUGUGUUUUAAUUUGUUUUUCUAUUUGUGUGCUUUAGUUUGUUACCCCGGUGAAGUGGCGGAUAACGGUACUCCGUGACAAUCAAGUCGGUUACUUCAGUUUCCCAUAAUAACUGAUAUUCUGAGGCGAAGGUAUGGACAGAAACGAGAUUCUAGCGAAGCUUCACAAGCGAUUCCCUUCACUUCCUCAGAAUGCCCUCCUUACGAUCUAUAAAGCUCAGUCCGAACGCAUGCGAUUACUCAUGAGGAAUAACAUACCUGCUGACAUCCGUUGGUUAAUCGAGGCUAAAGUACGAUCGGCAGGUGAGUUACCUCCAAAAUUUAUUGCAUACAUGCCUGGUUGUGGUAAAGGAAAUUAUGCAAGAAAACGACGAGCUCGAAGAAUUUCUGUUGCUUGUCAUAAGUGUGCCAGAAUGAGUUGCAAUAAAAACCCAUGUUCUUUAGGAAUGGUGUCUGAUAACAGGGAAGAUAAGAUUCAAUUCAUUAGGGAUGGCUUGAAUAAGGAGUCAUUGGAUGAUAUCCUUUUGUCUCUUGAAACGCAUCCCAGUGGAUAUGUGCAAGGAGCGAUUCUCCAGUUAUGGCCAUUAUUCCAGAAAGAGCAUGCACGAUAUAGUCUCGGGAAUCUGACUAUAAACGACCCUGUUUGCCAGUUUAUAAGAAAACUGGAUAGGAAGCCUAUCCUCGACCCAUAGAGGGCGUUCAAGCCGUUUCUGGACGUAAAACCAGAGGAAGAUGUGAGCCACAGUCGCAACUACCUGUAAAUAUCCUUUUACUUUAUUGUUAUUUUAUUUCACUAUUGUCUUAUUGUUUGCAUUAUUGUCUUUAAUAAUUUUAUUACUGUUUGCUUUUUCCUUUUUACUGUUUUCUUUUUGACUUGCGAGCACGUGCUUUACGCGUUAUUUGACACUGACAUAUUACCUCAUACACAACCAUGACCCACUAUCACCAAGACUCUUAAAUAUGAUAUCUUUUGUCAAGCACUCACAAAUUAUUUUUUAGAAGUAUCGCAAUGGCAGCUACUCCCAAUAGACAAUUCAAGAACAUUUGUAUGCUUUCCGGUUUUACCUAUGGCAAACAUAAAGAGUUCGUUGAGGCAGCCAUAGAUCUUGGUCGAAGCAUAGCAGCGAGAAAAUUACACUUGGUGUAUGGAGGAGGUAAUCGAGGGUUAUCAAAAAUGGUCUCAGAAGCAGCUUUUAUCAGAGGAAGUCAAGUGUUAGGCAUCAUCCCAAGAGUCCUAAAACCAUUGGGCAGUUCGUCUGACUCAUCAACUGGAGAAGAGUUAGUCGUCUCAGGUAUGCAAGAAAGAAUAACUGAAAUGCUUAAUUAUGCUGAUGCUUUUAUUUUCCUUCCAGGAGAUCUUGCAACACUAGAGGCACUUAUCACACUAGCAUCUUGGGCCCAUCUGCACAUCCACCAGAAACCUAUCGGUUUGUUAAAUGUCAAUAACUUUUAUGAUGGCUUUAUCGCAUUUCUUAACCAUGCAAUAAAAAACUAUUUCAUUCCCGCUAAUGUGAAAAAACUCUUUAUUUGUGCUCACACUGCUAAUGAGCUACUUGAUAUGUUACAAGCUUAUCGACCGGAGCCAGACCCCUGGACCUUUGUGUUGGAGCGUCCAAAUAAUGAUGGUAACAGUAGCCGCAGUAAGAAGUACAAAUUAGAUUUAACUCUCCGCCUGUAAAUAUUUUCUUCUGUGUUGCACCACCCAGGUGAUGUCUUCUAAACUCUACUUCUUUCAUUUCAAACAUUGAGGACAAUGUUUCGUUCUGGUUGGGGGGAGGGAAUAGUCGACAAUUGUGAAAUUUUGGUUAAGUUUUUACUAAUUUUUUGUUGUAGAAACUAACUGUUGCUAACUUUUUGUGUUGAAGAUGGCUGAAUAUGGAGUGUAGUUACUCUAGAAACGCAUCUUCAUUGUUUGAAAAAAAAAAUUCAAAAAAAAAAAAAUUCAGACAUUUUCUUUUUCUUUAUUAUGUGUUUAUGUUUAUUUUUCUUCUUUAAUUUCUCCUCUAUAAAUAUACAUUUUCCAACUUUUGAGUCGAAAAUGGCUGAAUAUGGAGUGUAGUUCCUCUAGAAACGCAUCUUCUUUUAAAAAAAAAAAAUCAUUUUCGUUUUCUAUCAUUUUACGUGUAACUUUUCUAAUUAGUUUUUAUACAUCAUUUUCACAUUUCUGCAUGCAUAUUUUCCUUUCAUGUUUAGAAUAGGUUGGGGGGUAGAAUGAUGUUUAAAAAAAAAAUGUGUGAUUUGUUUUAACAUUGGAUGACAUGAUUAAUUUCAAAUUUUAGUAUUUGUAUUAUCUUUGGUCUUAAGUGAUGUUACGCUAUGUUUGCUACUUUACAUGUUGAUGUCGGAGACAAAUGUGAGUUGCUUGAAGGAAUGAACAUGUCAUAAUAAGUACCAAGUGAGUUUUUGAGCCUAUUAUUUUUCUUGGAGAAUAACCCUUUUGCCCACUCUUUAUACAGCUUAGCAGUUUAUUAUUUUAUACACGAUCUCUAAAUUACUUUUGAGUUAACCCUUAAAAAAAAAUUGUAAAAUAAAAAAAAAAGAGAAAAAAAAAAGAAAAAAGAGUGUGUUGCUACAUUUGGAGGCCCAUCUAACUAGUAGAUAUGGAAGAUUAUUUAGAGCCCUAAAAGACGAUGGAGAGGCCAUCUUUGAUCCGUUUGAGCCUUUCAAGCCAUCCCUUUUAUUUAAUAUCCAUAGUUAACCCUUUUGAGCCUUUAAAAAAAAAAAAAAAAAAAAAAAACCUUUUAUUUGUCAACUUAUUAUCUUGACCCACUCCGAUUUGGAGUAUUACCCGAUAUCUUAUAAGUUCCAUCACCUAUUUAUGUUUGAGAAAAUGUAAAUAAUUGUUUUGUUCAGUGAAGUUAUGCCAAAUAAAAGCAAAAAAAAAAAACAAAAACAAAAACAAAAGUUGUUGUUUCAAAAGAAUAAAAAUAGGUGAAAUCCACCUUGCAACUUCCAAAAAAAAAAAAAAAAAAAAAUUCUCUGCAUUUUUCUCAAACAUACACUUUGUUUUCUUUAUUUUCCUUCUUUGUUAGCCAUGUCCCUAGCCUACGUUUCGUCCUAAUAAAAGUCCUUCUUGAUUUUAGGGAACUAUAGUUUGAAGUAGAAGCUAGUUAUAUGGGCUAAAAAGAUGUAGUGAUGCAUAAUUAAAAAAAAAAAAGAUAAAUAAAGUGGGUUGACUAACAUUUUAUUUGACUUGAGAUCGUAUUAUUUCUAAGCUGAGGGCAUAUUUAUUUCAUCUUGGUGAGAGCAUGUGAUAUCACUUCUUUAUUAUUUUCUCUCUCAAUUACCAUUCAUUGGAGUGACUAUUUUUAUUGGGAUUAAUUUAUUUGUGAGAGUGUCACUACUUCCAGUGAGAUUUUGGGGUUUGACAUGUCAUUCUUGAGAGUAGCUAAAACAAAGUCUACUGGGCUAAUUCAUGUGGAUGGUUGAUGUGGGUGUGAUGUUGCUUUAGACUGGAGAUAAUGCUUAUACUUUUAUUUGAUUGCUAUCAUUAAUCUGAUGGAAUAAAUACGAGUGUUUCUAUUAAAACAAAAAAAAAUUAUUUUGAAUUUGAAUUUUGUUUUCGCUUUAUUUGCUAGGGACUAGCAAUAAGCUGGUUGGGGGGUGUGUUGAGUGUUAGAAAAUGCAUAUUUAUAAAGGAGAAAACCGUCAUUUUACAUUUUAAGUCUUACUAACAACCCUUACUUUUAUAUAUUUAACCUUCUUGUGAUUUAAUUACAUGUGUUUUAUUUUAAUUAAGUAUUUUAUGUAUUUUAGGGGCAUUAUAGUCAUUUCACAAUAAAGGAGAGAUCAGACGACAAAACGGACAUCACUUUUGAACUCAGGACGGUCGAAAACCUUAGGAGGAGCAUAAAAGGAAAAAUGGCACUAUUCACAUGUACGGUACUAUUCACGUGUACGGUAAUGUAUACGUUACUGUUCACGACACUGUUCACAUAGACGGAUGAUGACGUGGCAUUGACCGAUGAUGUGGCAUUGACUGAUGAGGUGUCACGAUCCUGUUGGACCAAAAUUCUUAUGUACUGUUGAUGGUGACGUGGCAGCAUAUCAGUGGACGAAAAAUCUCGCGUACGGUGCAUGCAUCACACAGGAUUAUUUUCAACCAAACCGCGUUACUGUUCAUCCGGGUCAAACCGCGUUACUGUUCAAAGUCGGGUCAAACCGUGUUACUGUUCAUCCGCGUGGUCAAACCGUGGACUGUUGACUGAUGACGUGGCGCAAUCCUGAGCGUCCAAACUGUUUUUAAUCCGAUGGCCAUGAUUUACUCCAUGUAUCUAUAAAAAGGGGGCCUCCCCCCCCUAAUUUGAGAUCUCUGAAUCCAUUUUUGGACUCUGUUUUCUGUAAUUCCCUCUCCAUCUUGUAUUUUCUUUGUAUUUUAAUAAAUUCCUAUUUUGCCCCUAGUUCAAUUAUGAGUGGCUAAUUUUCUUUCAAGCUUGGGUUGAAGGUGAAGUCUCAACAUGUGUCAUGGGCUUAAUUUGGUAAAUUUAUUUUCUCUUCCCCUCUAGUUUUUGUGGAUGUUUUGACUUCUCGUCAACAAAUAAUACUAAUCUUGUCUAGAUACCACCUUGGUUACACCGGCUCUCUAGUAUAAGGUUAUUAUUAUUUGGCACGAUAAGCCCUUAGCACCAUAUUGAUUAGAGCGUGGUUCAUGAGGUGUGGAUUCCCCCCUCAUGAUUUAAUUGGCAUUAAUAAGGAAUAUUUAGCCCAUGAUGCAUGUUGAUACGGAUCCAGAUACCCAAGUACGUCAUUUCAAUAGAAUUCUCUUCAAUUUAUUCUCACCAUUUCAAUACCAAUUUUAGAAUUUAUUCUCUCCAUUUUAAUUUAAGUUUUAGCAUAUUCCAAUCAUUUCCACCACAAAUCCAAUCACCCAUUCACAAAAUUAAUUCUACACAAUUAAAAUCCACCUCCUCGUGGGAUCGACACUCGUCACCAUUAAUCUAUACUACAACAGAUUCGUGCGCUUGCGAGUACAUUAAAAUUUGCACAACACAGAUCCUGGCAUGCUUGGCUUCUGUCUCGCCAUAAAACAGGCUUUGAGACUUUGUUGAGCCUUUGCAUGCCUUGGAUUCUUCGAGGAUUGGGAUUCUGCUUGCCUUCUCGUGGCCGAGCAGAUCUUGGCAUGCUUGGCUUCUGUCUCGCCAUAAGACAGGCUUUGAGACUUUGUUGAGCCUUUGCAUGCCUUUGAUAGGUGGCCCCAGCAUUUUUGAGACCGAAUGGCAUUACCCUGUAACAGAACAAACCUUGGUUAGUGAUGAAAGCCGUGCUCUCCUCAUCCUGCUCGUACAUGGGGAUCUGGUUGUAUCCCGAGAACGCGUCCAUGAAGCUAAGCAGACCAUGUCCAGCCGUUGAAUCUGCUAGCUGAUCGAUCUUUGGUAAAGGGAAGCUGUCUUUUGGGCACGCCUUAUUGAGGUCUGUGAAAUCCACACACAUCCUCCACUUGCCGUUUGCCUUCUUUACCAACACCACAUUCGAUAUCCACUCAGGGUAACUGACUUCCCGAAUGAACCCUGCUCUCAAGAGCUUCUCCACCUCGCCAUUUAUAGCCUCAUACCUCUCCUGGUUGAAGCACCUCCUCUUCUGCCUUACUGCCCGAGCACCUUUCUUUAUUGCCAGCUUAUGAAAUGCUACCUCAGGGUCAAUCCCUGGCAUGUCUUCAUGUGUCCAAGCAAACACAUCAGCAUGAGCCUCUAAGCAUUUCACCAACUCCUGCUUUUGCUCUCCCUUAAGUCUCGACCCGAUUCUGAUCGUCUUUCCCGGGUUCUCUGGUCCCAGGCUUACUGUUUCCAGAUCCUCUACAGGUUCUUGUCUGCCCUUCUUGUUUUCCACUCGGGUAUCGAGGGAUGUUAUCUGCAUUGCUUCCCUUGCUGCCGAGGAGUAGCAGCUUCUUGCGAUCCUCUGGUCUCCUCGUACCACUCCUACUACCCCAUUCACCCGGUACUUCAGAGCCAGAUAAUGGUUGGACAACACCGCUUUGCUCAUCCUUAAAAAUGGCCGACCUAGGAUCAUCUGGUAAGGACCUUCCUCAUCCACUACGACAAAGUUCAGUAUCAUUGUUCUUUCUGUCGGGGAGCUCCCAAUUGUGAUAGGCAGCUCGACCACGCCCAGAGGGACCAGCUUCCCUCCUCCGAACCCCUUCAAGGAGGUAUUGGUGUAUUCCAACUUCCGGUCGGCUAUUCCCAUCCCUUCCAGGGUUGACUUAAAUAACACAUCAACUGAGCUCCCUAUAUCAAUCAGUAUCCGGUCAAACUUCUUGCUAGCGACAGUAGCCUUGAUGACUAAAGCAUCCUCGUGGGGGUAUAGAAUCCCUUCCUCAUCCUCAUCCGUCCACAUGAUUGGCACUUGCCUGACCCUUGCUCGUUUGGCUGCUGGGGUGUUGAAGAGUACCUCUUUACUGGUCAUGGCAUACCUAGCAUAAUUUUUUCUCGAUCUGUUGGAAUCUCCGGCCAAUGUUGGGCCCCCAGCUAUCACCCUUACUGCGGACUGCUCGCGCCUCAAGUUUCUACCACUCUGCUCCCCUUCACCUGUUGUGGCCACCAUCGGGAAAGUCCCAUCCAUAAACUCGUCCAGGUACCGAUUUCUCACCAAAUCUUCGACCUGGGUCUUAAGAUUUCUACACUAUGCUGUGGUAUGGCCAUGGGUGCCAUGGAACUUACAAUAACGUCAUUUAUCCCUCCUGUUGGGUAGCUUUGUUAUUGGUGUAGGGAGGUGCAGCAGCCCUCGAUCCUUUAUGGCCUCGUACACCUCAUCCAAGGACAUCUUCAAGGAAGUGUACCGCCCAUAGUCCGGGUUCUGGUCGAUCAGGUGCACUGCUCUUUCUCUGUUUGCCCCGCUCUGAGUUGGGGGCGGUGGAAGUAUUUCUGUUCUGCUCGCUCUGCUACCGUGGGGAUGUUGAUGAAGACCACCAAAUGCCGACUCAUGCCUUCUCCAAGGCUCCCUAGCUGGGGAACGAGGAGGUUGCGCCCUGCUGCGCUGAUACUGUGGUGGCCUCUGAUGAGGCUGGUAAGCAGUUAUCCGACCUCCUGCUCCACUACCGGAGGCCUGGUGGUCCCUCCUCCUGAUCGGCCCAUUCCCCGGUAAUGCUUUCUUCUCUUUCCUCCCCAACCCUUCUAACUGGUCUGUCUUAAUCCGUGCAGCCUUCUCCUCUUCAAUCUCGAUGUCUCUCUUAACCUGUUCGUAUGCGGCUGCAUACAUUUGAAUAGCUGGGCUUCUCAAAUUGUACCACAACCUUCCUAUCUUCACCCCUUCUUUCAAUCCCCUUAACGCCUGAGGGUGGUUGAAAGCUCCCAAGUCGAGGACAGUCCGAUGAAACCUCUUGAUGAAUUCCCGAAGGGUUUCUUGCUGCCCCUGUUUCAUGCUUUUCAGCUCCAUCAUGUCAUCUUCCGGUGCCACUGCCCCACUAAACUGCUCCGCGAAUUCCUGGCACAUCUGCUCGAAGGUUUUAAUGCUGCCCCGAGGAAGUUUCCUGUACCAUUCUUGUGCACGUCCCUCAAAGGAUAGUGGGAACACCCUGCACCUUUGGGAUUGAGAUAAUCCUUGUACCCCAGUUAUGUCGUUGAAGCGCUCUAUGUGCACCAGCGGAUCAGUUCUUCCCGAGUAUCUGAGGUCUGGGAGGCGGAAAUCUCUCGGAAUAACUGCCCUCAUGAUCUCUGCUGCGAGCGGUGAUUCUCCGUCCAGCAUUAUCCUCCAACCAGGGGCUCUGUUCCUUCCUUGCAUGUCGUCAAUUAUCUGCGCUAGUCUGCGCACUUCCUCCUCCAGCUGCACUGCACGACCAGGGUCACGUGCUGCAACUUGAUCCCACUCUUGCUCUACAUCAUGCAAGUGUUGCCUCAACUCUGUUUCCUCUGCAUUCACCACCUCGUCGUCCUCGUCACCAGUCUGUCUUGCCGGGGACUGCUCUCUUUCUCUAUGAAAUUCUCCCCGCAGAGGUACGUUACCUCUCUCACCACCAAAUCUCCCAGUGGUUUGACUUCUCCCCGCACUAUCGGGACCUGGUGCCACUCCACCGCCUCUCACCCUUCCCUCUUGGGUUACCCUUCGCUCGCUCCGCAGCUCAUGCAGGAUGGUUGUCAAGGUCUCCAUCUUCUUUUCCAUCCGUUCCAUUCGGUCGAACAUGACUUUUUCCCGUGCUUUACUGACUAUCUCCCUCAGCGUCACGGAAUCGUUAAGCCUCCUAUCACCCCCUUGUGCACUACUUCCUCCUGUCUCCAUUGCUUCACUCAUCUUCUUGCUAUCAACAGAAGCUUUUUGCUCUCAUCCCCACAGACGGCGCCAAAAUGUUGAUGCGGGAUUCCGAUUCUCCUCGUUCUACGACCAGGAUCUCUGCUCGAUCAAUGUCAUCACGACCAGGGGGUCUCCUCGCAAGGCUUCUUCUCCAGAGGUUCCUGCGCACACAGACAAGUCAGAGUACGCCGGUUAUUUUUCCGGCGCAAACCCUCCGACGCUCAAGUCAGAUAUGAAGGUUCGGGGAACGCUUGCCACAGAUCUUAUGACUUUUUCGUGAUUUUCUCUUCUUUAGAAUUUCUUUUCUAAUCUCAAAAAUGCUAACACCUUUACCUUCGUUGUCUACCUUUUUAUAGGCUUCCUCUGAAUCCUAGUUUUCCGCUUUUUUCGAGACGGUAUGGGACUUUGACUGCUGCGUUAUGGGAAACGUGGGAUCUUGCGUGUUACGCCACGGUUCUGGGGAAAGCGUGGCUGUCGUGGUUCUGUGAGAUCUUGUUUCCGCUUUUUUGGGGGACGGUAUGGGACUCCGACUGCUGCGUUAUGCUGCGUUAUGGGCAAACGUAGGAUCUUGCGUGUUACGCCACGGUUCUGGGAAAAGCGUGGCUGUCGUGCCUAGAUUCUCGGGCUGGAGAGCAUGUCUUGCCAACUGCCGUCGACCGGGUCUCCUCGCCUCUCGACCUCUAGCCGGAAUGGCCUUAUGCCUCUUACAGGAAAUUUGCCUCGCGGAUGACGUGCUUGUGGACGAGCAGGAUAUUUCUGCUCCUGUUCCCCCGCGCACCAGGCUUUUACGGAACACACCGGUUCGCAGAACUCUGCCAUCAGAUAUCUGCUCACCAUGUCUGGUCUCGUCGACGUAUUUCUCUCAAACAAUAAUAGUUGUAUUAUGUGCUUAAUUUAUAUUUUUAAUGUUAUUCGUAAAGUGUUAUAUAAAGAUUGGUUAAUGUUUAAUACGUUAAGAAAGAUAAGAUAAUUAAUAUACAGUAAUGUUUUUUUUAUGAGCGAGAUUAUUUAUCAUAAUGAGGUUGGUUGCAAGAUGACAAUCCUUUUAAUAAAUAUUACACCACGAAUUACGGAAUUGUGUCGUGUGUACGAAAUUGUUCACUUUUUGUGUUUCUUUUUAACUUUUUUUUUUUUUAAAAAACUUUUUUUAACACGAGCAUGCACGAAUGAAUGAGGUAGAGAAGCCCCAGUCGGGGUGGGGCCCACCAAAAAUGGUGAUUUUCAAAGUCAUGUUGUCGAUGUCAGUUGUCAACCAUGUGUGUGUGUGUGUGUCUUGUACGGAAUAAUUGACCAAAAAAAUAAAAAAAUAAAAAAGUAGAAAAAACGAAAGCGGUAGGUCGGUGGGGUGUGGGUCCCAAUGCUGUACUGGCCGUACGGCGUCGUGGAAAGCAAGAGCGGAACAUAAGGCAAAGCUGACGAGAUCCCGCGACUCUUCACUGCUGACGUGGUCCCCACUCCCUCAUGCCAUCAAUACCAAGCAUUAAGCGCCGAGCAAUUUUUUUUAUUAAAUCUUCUCUUUUCAAUUACUUUAUUAUUAUUAUUAUUAUUAUUUAAUUAAAUGUCUAUGUCUAUGUGACACGGAAUUUAUGUUGUGUGGGCCUAAUCAUAAAUCGACGGAAAUUUCUCACGUUAAAGAGAGAUUAAUUGAAUGACGAAAAUUUUGAUUUUGUGAAAAAAGACUUGAUUUUUUUAAAGAAAAUCUUGAGAAAUUACGUGGGAAUCUUUUGCUGACUUUUUUUUUUUAGAUUGAUUAAUCAUCAGAUUACUGCAUUACACAGAUAUUUACAACAACUGCUUAUUGUAGCAGAGAUAUUACACUGAUAUUUACAAUCAGAUAUACAUGAUUGGGACUUACAUUAUUACAAUGAAUUCUAUGAAGUACAUGCCCAAUAUAAAUAACCCCUCGCAGGAGAGGAUGUUCAUACUCCACUUGCAUUUCGCAAGGGAGAAGAAUAUAAAGAAUAUUUAGCCCCCACAAUACUUUUGUGGGGGCUUGUGAGGGCAGCAGCCCACCACUUCGGCAAUCUUUUGCUGACUUAAAAGAAAAGGAAAGUUGAAUUACUAAAAUUUGUCUUUCGCGGGCGGGCAGGACUAAAUCACCAAAGAGGGUAGGGUUUUGUAGAAAUUACAAGGGAAAAAAUUAAAAUUAACUUUUAUGCACUCAUUUAAUUAAGAAAACCUAUAAAUAAUUUGAGAUUUUAAAGGGAGACAAAUAAAGCUUGUGGUAAAUUAAUUAAGUGAAGUCUGCAGCAGACAACAGCUCUUAAAGUAAUAAUAAUUUGCAAUUUACCAUUUCCAAUAUAUUUAUCUCAGUAGGUCGGUAGAGUUCUCAUUAUUGCCUUAUCAAAUAUAUAUAUAUAUAUAUAUAUAUAUAUAUAUAUAUAUAUAAAACAUCAUGGACUUAUCAACUCUUGAUGAUCAUCAAAAGAUUUUGUUUUAAGCUUUCCUGCCAAUUUUUUUGACCCUUGACAAUUCGUCUUUGAAUGGAGUUGAAGACUCCAAAAUACCAAAAGCCAAACACAUAAAAAUCUUUAAAUUUGCCAUUCUUUUUUAUAUUGCAUAGAAUGCGUCAAAGGUAAAUAAUUUAGAGUAUUCUGUAUGAUAUUUUUAUUUAUUUAUUUAGGUGUCCUUUUCUUUAUGAGGCAAAAAAAAAAAAUGGCCAAUGAAAAUGUUAUCUUCUUGUACAAAAGUUUUCUACUUUUCUUGUUGGAUUAAUCUGAUUCUUCUUCAUUCACCAAACCAUUUAAUUUUUACUUUAAAAUAAAUUUAGUAAAAGAAGUUUAUAUUAAUUCAAUAAAAAAAAACGCUUUUGUACGUAACACAAUUUUCAUAUACGCUAACGUCUAUAUUGAAAAACAAUAAUGAUAACCAUAUUUAUGUUUUAUAAAUUGAUAUACUGUGAAAUUUAUCAAAUACAUUAAUUAUAUAUAUAGACAUUUGAUACAUUCAAAUUUUUAUUUUUAUUUUUUGGUUUUCCAUGCGUUGCUAUAGAUUGAUUUCCUAAUUUUUCCUUCUUGUAAACAUUAACUGUGACAAUUUUUAGCUGCUAUUAUAAAUUAAUCCAACAACCAAAAUCAAUUAAGUGAACGAGAGAAAAUUAGAAUUUUCAAACAAACAAACAAACAAAUGAGAACAGACCUCUAGAUGAAGUAUGUGUGAUAUCAUGAUUACGCAAGUCUUUCAUUUUUAUUUUAUUAUUUUUUUUUUUUUGUGGGUGCCCUCAUUGAUUUUUGCUUGCAAGAAAAAGAAAAAAAAAAUUCACGUACCUUUCAUGCAUGACCUAACCCUAGCUAUAUAUUUGCGUGCACCAUUCUUUGAGGACAAGCAAGCGAGACAAAGUGAUAUAAGCAUAAUUAGGGUGGGGGUAGAUUUUAAUUAAUCUGUUAUCAAAUAAUUCUCUAAUGCCUCAUGAUUAGUAUUCAUACAAUCAUCUUUUGGUUAUUCAAAUAGGGUUUAUUAUUUAUUUAUUUAUUUAUCACGGCUUUCAAAAGAAUUAAUAUUGUUGAGACAUUAAUAUAUGAUUUAUUAAUGUGAUAUUCAGGAUUUUGAAUUUAUUAAAAUCUCAAAAAAUUACUAGACCAAGUUGGUUAAUAGUGUAAUAUUAAUCAUAAAAGUUAUUAAAACUCGUAGUUUAAUAAAAUCUAAUAUCUUACACCAUAUCGACACUAUACAUAUUCAAUGUUUAGCUCAAUUCCCACAUCACCUCAUCAGUGCAUAUCAUAAAAACAUCACAUCAAUGCCCACUUGGGAAUCAAAGAUCAUUAUCCUCAGUGUCAGUAAUCUGAUUUGGACGGUGCUGAUUCAAGAGCAAGAUCAAGUAACAGCUCAGGCAACAAUCAUGCAUGUGCGUUCAUGCAGAUUCAAGUUUAGAAGUGUGCAUAAAAAAAAAAAAAAAAAAAAAUACAGCUGCGCAAACGCGGUGUUAAAUUUUGAUUGAAAAUGAUUUUCAAACUGUUUGUUGAUACUUUCAGCUUUUCGAAGAACAUUGAAGAAAUAUGAAAUAUGAUAAGCGUAAGUGUUUACGACCGCCGAUCAGCGUUCACAUUUGAAUAUCUUAUAAUAAAAUAUUCGAAAUGAUUAUGCGAUGACAGUCAUCUUGUAUUCCAAAUUCGUCGAUUACAUACAGGUGGUACAGCUGGUUAGUUUCUGUUAACGUGGCACAAUCACAGUGCAUAAAAUAAAUCAAGAAGAUACCCAAGAGCUUUGCGCACCCGAUCGGAUUGGAUAAUCAAUCAUAUUCUUACACCAUUUUCAAAAUUUUUAAUCGUUUCAUUUGGACCAUUAUUCAUUAACAAUUCAAUCAUAAUUCGAGUAGUUCUUGUUCAUGAUAUGAUGUGAGGUUGAUGAAAAUGAAAUUUCCUGUUUAUUUUUUAUAUUUAAAAAUUUUACUUUAAAAUACUCCAACGGUUAAAUAUGUUAUACUUUUCUCAUCUUUUUUCUUUUUUUUAAUAUAAUAAUACCCUUACAACAAUACUCUUAAGGAUGUCAAUAAAAAGAAAAAAAAAUUGAUAAUUUGCCAAUUUAGUCUUACAAAUAACAUAAAAAUUUACUCUAAAUUUUUAUAUUAUUAAUUUAUUUUUAAGAUUAAUUUAAUAUAUUAUUUUUAAAAAAUAAUUAUUAAUAAGAUUGCUGCAUGGUUAUAAAACAUAUUGGUUAUCUCAUAUUGCUAUUUAUUGGUUAAGUUGCCAAUAUAUCAUUAUUGGUUAAGUUGCCAAUAUAUCAUUAUUGGUUAAGUUAGCUUUCAUAAAGAUAAAUUAAUUAAUAUCAAGAAUAUUGUUGUAAGAAUAUUAUGAUAAAAGCUAAGAAAAGUUAAGAGUAAGAAUGUAACAUAUUUAAUCGUAAGGAUAUUUUGAAGUAUUAUUUAAAAUAUAGAGACUAAAUAGACAUUUAAUUAAAUUAUAGGGACUAAACCCGUAUGUUCACUUAAAUGAGGCUUUACCUUCUUUUCUCAUGAUCAAACAUUUGUUGAAUUAUACGAAAUUUUAUCUUUAUGUCUUACACUUCAUGUUUCUUAUUAUUUGACGUCGUAUCAUAUUCCUGUAUUCACUUUUGAUCCACUAGUUCUUGAGCGAUUAUUAUGUACAUUUUAAUCUUAAACACAUUUUCUAAAUAAGAAAAUUAUCAAUUUUUCUAUAAAAAAGAAUGCUUGUGACUAAACAUUUUUAUCAAAAUCACAAAUUUCUCGAAUAAGAUGAGAAAUUGAUUCAAUUUUUUCUUUUUUUAGUACUUUUAAAUCAUUUCAUAUUAAUAAAAAUCGAACCGCAUAUCGAAUUGAUUAAAUCUGAGAGUAGUAUUUGCCGGACAAAUUAUAAAAUCAAACCGUAUAUCGAAUCGAUUAAUAAAAUCCGAUUAUUAAGAAAGUUAUUUUUUUUUUUGGCAGCGGUUGUUGCCGCUUUGGCAGCUAGCUAGGGUUGGCUUCUUCAUUAAAAUUGUGUAUCAGUGUACAAAUCUAAAGGACUAGAAAAGCCCUAAUUUUGGCCACUUGAAAAGAACUUUUGGCUUCUUGUUUUGAUAAAAUCAAACACUACAAGUUUGGUAUAGAAAUUUAUUAUUUUCUCCUAAUUUGGGAAUUCCAUCUUUUUUAUUAAAAAAAAAAGAAAAAGAAAAAACCCCAAAUUGGAAAAAAAUAUCUAAGAAAAUCUGAAACUUUUUAGUUCACUAUCUGUAAAUAUAGUUGGCAGGAUUUCUUUUGAGAUAUUGGUAAAAACCCAAUGCCAACUUCGGUUUGUAUUGUUAUGAUAUUUGUAAAUUAUUUCUCUUUGUUGAUCCAUCUAUUUUUUUUUUUUAAUCAAUUUUACUCAUUAGGAUUAAUUAAAAUGCAUGCUUCCCAAUUUGAACGAAAGCACCCAAGUUGGUGUGGUUUCACGAUAUUCAAACUCCUCCUUUCUUGACCCAUCUAAUAAUAAUAAUCUUAUCCCAAUACCCCCCCCCCCCCCCCUUUCCUCCAACAAGUUAAAUUAUCAUAUUAAGUACUUUGUUUGCUCUCAAAAUUAUUUAUAAUCUUUUUAUAAUAUUAUAAAUAGAUUAUUUUCCACUCUACCUAUGUGAGAUUUACAAGAGUUGGGUGUCGAUUGGUAUUGUUCACUUUAUGUUUUUAUUUUUAACAAUAAAGUUUGUCUUUUGAUUUAAAGAUUCAGGCAUCUAUGAAGAAUGAUGCGAAAGGAGUGACUUUACACGGAAUCAAAAAGAGAGAAAAAGCCGAUUCCUUUGUAAAAAACACACAAGUGUGAAAAUGCCGUGGGGGAGUGGGUUCGCUAAACACAACUUGCUUAGAUUCCAAAACAAAACAAAAUUAAACCAAAAAUUAAAAAAAAAUAAACAUUCAGAAUGUGCGGCACUACUCAUCUCAACGAGUGACGAUAGAUAUACUAAACUUUUUUAUCUUAAAUUCCAUCUCAAAUAUAUCAUUAAUUAAUUAAUUAAUAAUUUUUAAAAUAUUUAAGUAAAUUAAUUAUAUUAUUUUAAUUAAUUAAUUAAUAAAUAUCACAUUAUUUAAGAUAAAUUUUUAAAUAAAUAAUUUGAAAUGUACGGCACUAACAGUAGUAUCUCAAUUCUCAACAUCUCAUCUUCUUAUCCUCCAUUUAUUCUAAAGAAUAUUGUCCCAUCCCCAUCGCCUCCUACGGGGUGCGUGAACGAUAAUUUCUAGGAAUAAUGAUAUUUUUAAUGUGCGCGUGGGAUCACGGGGGAUGGCCGGAGCGUGGGUAGUUUUAAAUAUGACACGUUGAUUAGAUGACAAAAGACGUUAAAGGUAAAGGGGCAUUCGGAGUCACGGAAUUGUACUGCAUUUGGACUACGGAAAAAAAAAAAAUGAUUUAAAAAUGAUUCAUGCCCGAUAAUUGCGCGCAGCCAACGUUUAUUUUUCGGGCUGUGUCUCCUUUUUUUUUCUUUUUUUUGCCCCUUUUUCAGAGGAUGGCUGUCGCCCCUUUUUAAACUUUUCAUGUCGAUUUAUUUUUCGAACUAUGACAGACAUCGACGCCCAAACUUCCAACGGUUUAAGAAAUAAACCGUUAACUCACAUUUUGUUUUACCCUCUCUUGUUAAUAAAUUUCUUCUAUUUCAAUGGAGUUUUUUUUUUUUCGAUUUGAAAGGUAAGCCAGUCUUAAAUUGUUUUUUGUUAGCAUUUUACUUAUUUAAUUUCGUUCAAACUCAUAAUAUUAUAGUAUAUUAAUAUAUUUAUAUCUAAUUAAAUAGAUAUAAUUCACAAAAAGUAACGUUACACAUCUCAAAUUUUAUCUCAAAAAAUUAUCUCAAAUGAGUGUGGUACUAUGUAAUUAAUUUAAUUAUAUCUUGUAAAAAAUUACCAACCACUUAAUUAAUGACACAUCAUUUAAGAUAAAAUUUAAAACAAACAAAUUUUUGAUACAUUUAUUAUUACUCAAUCACUAACGCAGUUAUAUUUAAAUAAAUAUAUAUAUAUAUAUAUUUGAAAUGAUAGGUGCAACUGUGUACUUUUGAAACGGAUCUAAUUAUCUAUGCAAACUUUGAAAGUGGGGUAUCUUUUUAUCUUUCUUUUAUUUAUCUCUUAAUAUCAUUAACAAUAGUUGUAAUUACUAAAGUGUUUUGCUUUUUCAUCCUAUGGACUAUUGACCCUGCGGAAAGGUCACUUGGGACCCUUGGAGAUGGAAAGUGUAAAACAAAGUUUUUAAUCCAUAAAUAAAAACGCCUGCCUUCAAAGACUAUAAAAAUUAUCUGCAAGAAUAGUAUAAAGUGAUAAGCACGAAUUAUAGUUAAUAUUUUUUUUAUUUAAUGUUUCCCGUGAUUAAGUUUAAUAAAAAUAUAAAUCUACCUUAUUCGUACGUAUCAAUCUCAAAUAAUCUUGAUUUUUCUUUUUCUCUUAAAUAUUAAAAUUUUAUCAUUAAAAAAAUUAGUGAUAAUGAAGUUACCAACGUUUAAGUAAUUUUUUUUUUUAUGACUGAGUUAUUGUCAGAUAAAUAAUUAAAGAAUCAUAAAAAAAAAAUUACCUAUGUAUUGAUGUAACUAACAUAUAUUAUAGCUUAAUUAUUGCCUUCGGUUGAAGGCAUUCCACCGUACAAGAAACAACCGCCCAACUUGGCAACUUCUAUCUGAGCUGACUCAUCGUGCGCGCCACACUUUCAUUUUAAAAAUAAAAUACAUAAAAUCAUUAAUUAAAUUAUAGAAAAUUUAAAAAAAAAAAGAAUAAUUAAUAAAUAUUGAGUAUUUAUUUCCCUCAGCAAUUGUGUGAGAUUGUACCUGACAAGUACUCCUACACGUACCUCUCUCUCUCUCUCAUCAUCACCUUUCUGUGUCUCUCUUUCGCUUUCUUUAUUCGCCCCGCUCCCCCUUUAUUAUCCCCCCACUCUUAACUCUUUCCUCUCCCCAAGCGCAAAAAUUUUCUCUCACUUUCUCGCGAACCAAACACCCCUUUUCCUUCUGUUAAAUCCUUAGUCUUCCUUAGUCUUCACACUCAAACUCACUCGAUUUCAGCUCAAAUUCCACCAAAAUUGACCUUAAGUCGAAGAUGAAGCAAUUAAUUCGCCGUCUUUCUCGCGUCGCCGACUCCUCGCAGUACAGUCUCCUGCGGUCCGACUCCACGCAAGCAGCGCGCCGCCGCCCGCGUCGCGCGGAGUCGUUCCGCGCUCUCAAGGCGUCGUUGGCACGCCGGUCACCGAACUCGAAGCCGGUCCCCGAAGGCCACGUGCCGGUCUACGUCGGAGACGAGAUGGAGCGGUUCGUGGUCAGCGCCGAGCUGCUGAAUCACCCCGUCUUCGUCGGCUUGCUCAACAAGUCGGCUCAAGAGUACGGCUACGAACAAAAAGGCGUCCUCCGCAUUCCCUGUCACGUGGUGGUUUUCGAGCGCGUCGUGGAAUCGCUCCGACUGGGACUUGAGUCGCGUGACCUACAGGAUCUGCUCAGCUCCGUCUCCGACGAGUAUUUUUAGUAUCUUGUUUUUCAAAAGAAAAAUGGAGAAAAAAUAGGAGAAAAUAGGAAAGAUCUUGAUAUACAUAUGUAUCUAUAAAAUACACAGAAACGAGGUCUUUUUCUUUUUUUGUUUUUUUUUUGUAAAUAGUUUUUUAAGAUCUUUCUUCCUUUUUUUUUUAUUUUCUCUUUUUUAAAAGAGAAAAUUUUUAGGGGUUUGGUGAGUAGUUUUGUUGCUGGUAGUAGUCUGUUGUAAAUGAGACUGAAACGGCGACGGAGAAAUGAAAAUGAAAAUUGCUCUUUGCUUUUUGCUCCAUUUUUUUUCCUAUUAUUUUGGCAUAAUUUGAGUUUUCUUGAGAAACUUAUGGCAGCUGUUACAUGUUACUACUGCUUUAGCCAUUGAAGCUGGUGUUUGCUUGCUGAGAAAAUUUGUUCAGGACUUAAGAUGAAAUAAAACAAAAUUAAGCUAGUGUGAAAAUUUUACUCUUUUUUUUUUUUUUUUUUUUUUCCGAUUACCAUGAUAGAAUGAAAUAUGAAUUACAAAAUUCGUAUAUUGGUGAGAUCUGAUUUUUAGGAUCAAAUAAAUCUUUGGAUAUGCACGAUUAUUAUCUUCUACAUUAAGUUUUAGAUUCUUUACGAUAAGGAUUCUAACAUUUAUUAUAGGUUUAGGUAAAAUAAAAUAUAAUAGCUAUUAUUAUUUUGAUAAUAUCACAUUGAUAUUUGAGACUCCCCCAUUUCUCUUUAGUUGGAAGUAUGUCUCUCCUCUUUACUAGAUUUUUGACUCAUCUUUUAUCCAAUUAUUAAUAUUCAAGGAAAAAAAACUUCACAGUCAUAAAUUUGAAAGAAUGUUAAUUUCAAUGUAAUUUGAGGCCAAAAGAAAAAUAAAAGAGAGAGAGAGAAUGGGGGCAAGAUUGUAAUUUGAAGGAAUUUGCGGUGGUUGUUUCAUGAGGAUGAUAGGGUGAUGUUGGGUACUACUUGAGAAUGUUGGAUACAUGCAUAAUUUCGAAUUAAAAGUGAGGGUAAUGUGGUCAAUUACGGUGCGGAUAGAAAUUAGCGUUUUGUGGGUGCAAUAAUAAUGAAGGAUGUGCGGUUUGAUGCAACACGAGUGCGUACGUUACCUUCUAAGUUCAUUUAUUUUUCAUUUUAACGUUUUGCUUUUACUGUUAAUUAAUAUUAUUACUACUAUUUCUAUUAUAGAAAUAUGAAUAAUUUUCUUUCUAUUUAUUCGGCUUUUUUUUUUCUUUUCUUUUCUUUUCUUUUCUUUUUUGGGAUAAUCACUCUUAUGUGUGUGUGUGUGUGAUAUUUCUUUCUAACAAAAGCUAGUGGAAGAUUACAGUCACACAAUUUGACAAUUUUAUGUUAUACCCAUUACCCACAUUCACAAUUUUAUAAAAAGAUUUAGGACGCAUUCGGUAUUAUUUUUCAAUUAUUGUUUUCAUGAAACCAAAAAAAAUAUUUACUAGUGAUAUUUACAUUAGUUUAUACACACUUAUUUGUACAAAGGUGUUUACAUCUCUAUCAUAUUUACUAGUGAUUUGAUUGUAAGCAAUAUGGCAGUCACAAAAAUAUAAUCAAUUAACUAAUGGGGUGGGUAACCCAUAUUGGUAGGAUAAAAGCACUGGUCCAUAUGAUUGUGUUAAUUGAUAUAUUUAUAUCACAUUAACUUGUAUAAAAUAAAUUUAUUUAGUAACUUUUGUCUUAGUAAUAGCUCUAAAUAAAAAGAUUAUCGUAAGUUAUACAUAUACAGUGAUGCUCACACGUGGAUAUCUCCGCGAAAUUAAAAUGUGAUUUUUUAGCAUUGUCUAUAUUUUAAUAAAGUAAAGAUGACAUUAAUAAAUAUAAAAAAUAUAAAUUUUAACAUACUAGAAGACAAAAAAAUAUAAUAUUAAUUUAUUGAAUUCCAAAUAAUUUACAUUUUAAUGAUAAUAAAGUGAGAAUUUCCUUAUUAAUAAUGAUCACUCUAUGUAUAAAAACGUAAGUUUAGGUUUAUUAUAUGUUUCAUUGGGAGAACUUUAACCACUUAUCCAAACAAAUAACAAUGCUGUGCUUUUGUAGAAUCCAAGGAUAAAGCGAAUAAAAGAAGCGGAUAAUGCGGCAGUUGAUUAGCAAACUCUAAUGAUUCUUAAACAGUUACGAUUAUUACAAACUCAAUAUAAUCAUGCUUUUGUCUUUUGUCUUAUCUCUCUUUAAUUCAACUAAUACAUGCUUAAUUUUGAGGCCAUCUUCACCUAAAAACAAGGUGGGUGCUUUCAUAAUUACUGAAUAAAAUUUCAUAUACAAAUUAUGGGAGAUUAUCAGGCUUUUCCCUCCAAAAAUUUAUACAUGCCCACUUUCUCUUCUAUUAUUUUUAUAAUAUUCAAUAAUCGCUUUGAUACAAAAAAUUUAAAGGAUAAUCGGGUUAUUUGCUUAAUAUUAUAUCUUAAAAAUAUAAAAUACAUAUUUAUUAUUAAAAUAAUAUUUACAAAUAAUAAUUAUAACUUAUGUUAUUGAUGCUCCAAAGUACCUUUUUUUUUUCAGUGAAGUGUAGCGUAAUAAGCAAACAUUAUAUUUGAUAACAAGUGUCAGUAAAUGGCAAUAUAAUAGUGUCAUUAGAACACAAAUAUACCGUAAUAUUAUAAUUAUUUACCACCGGGAAAAUGACUCUUAAGUCAUAAUGUUGAUUUUGCUCAAAUGUUCGAUCCGAAAAGACAUCAAUAUAUAUACCCCCAUCAGAUAAAUAGAAAUCGAAUUUCUUUUGUGACAAAAAUCACCAAUAUAGGAUAUGAUUCUAGUUUUGUUGGGACUCAUCCUAAGUUAUUCUUGAUUCUGCAUGUUGAAAAUUACUCUAAAAAUUAAUUGAUUAAAUUAUUCAAAUUGAUAAUAUUCUGAUAUUGCAUGUGAGUAGGCUAAGUUGUCACAAAGUUUUGGAUUUCUUUCCGCUGUUAUAAGUAGUGGAAGAAUUGUCACUUUCUAUGGAAAAAAAAAAAAAAAAAAAAAACCCAUACACUCAGGAUUGCGUGUGCUUCAUCAAAAUUCUUUUGGAGUGCGUUUGGGAUUGAACUUGUACAACUAUAACUUAAGAGUUACAUCACUAAAGUGUUUGAUAAACACUAACUGCUAUGGUUUAGAAGUUAUGUUGACAUGAUUUUUCACCUGUAUCAUAAAAAAUCUAUUAUAUUUUUAAUAAUUUUGUCAAAAUUAUUAUUUAAAAUUUAUGUUUACUAUAUAUUAUUAAUUUUUGUUCUAUAAUUAUAGUUUUUUUUUUUCAUAACAGCUGUAAUUUAAAAGUUACAGUACCUCAAUCUCAAACAAAUCUUUGAUCAAUUAAGAAAUAAUAUUAUCUCUAAUAUAUAUAUAUAUACACACACACGAUCAAUAAUUAUUUAUUAUGCUAAAGUCAAAUAUAAGUUAAAAAGGUAAAAAACACAAAUUCCAAUACAUUAUAUUUAUCCUAUAAUGUAUUCAAAUAUAUAUAUAUAUAUAUAUGAUUUGUGGAAUUGGGCCAAAAUGAUUCCACCAAUGUUGAAACCAAUUUGGAAGGCUUUGAACGGUUAUCUUUGUGUUGAAGAAAAAUAACCAAGAGUGGGAUUUUUUAGGGUUUUGGAUAAAGAAGGUGUUAUACCAUGCUUGUUGGUAAUCCCAGUAGGAAAAAGUCCGACAAUGUGGUAAACGGGUUUCAAAAUUUAGAGGGAAGGUUUUACAAUUGUGGAGUAGGUCACCCCACUGAUUUGGGCUCAAUACUUUGAGGAUUGUGGCCGUUGAAUAAGCCGGUUCUGGAUGGGCUUUGUCAAGAAAGAAAUGUUUGAAUUUAACAGAUUCAGUUAUUUCCAAAAUGCUUUGAUAAUAAGACUGGGGUUUUGUCAAAUCCCAUGGUUUGAAAAACCAGCCUUUGGGAAAAAACUUUGAAAUGCUUUGAAAAGGAUCAGAAUGGUAAAAUCCAUCUUCUAGAGAAAGAAUGUUUUGAAAAUGGGUUUUAUCAAACCAAUCGGAGGUUUUCUUUGAAGGUGUUGGCUGAGAAAGCACAAUUUGAGAAGAUGAGCUUUCAGCAGAGACAACAACAUUUUGGGAAGAGGGUUUUGUAAUUUCAAUUUCUUUUUUAGGAGAAAUUUGGCUUUGAGAAAGGUUUUGGAGGGCGAGCAUGAGCUCAGGAGAUUUUGUAAUGGAACUCAUCCAUUGCUUUACUUGGUCGUCAGAAGAGACCGAUUUGUAUUGGGCUCCAUGUUCUUCAACCAUUUCAAUCCAAGAUUUAAUGGGUAAGGCUGAAGAAAGUAAUUUUUCUUUGGAAGGGGUUGAAAGGGGUUCUUUGGAAGGUUCUUGGGAACCAGAGUCUUUGAGAACUGCUUUACCUUUAUUCUUCUUUGGCGGCAUUAUCUGUUUUGAAGAAAUUCUCUGGUUAGAAAAUCAGGAACAGAAUUUUUAUCACCUUUAAUAAACUCAAUAUCAAAAUCAAAAACGCUUAAAAUAGCUUGCCAUCGUGCAAAAAUCUGUUUUGAUGCAAUGUUUUGAACAUCUUUUUCUAAAACAUGUUUUGCAGCUUUGCAGUCAAUUCUAAGUAAAAAUUUUUGAUUUAAUAAAUCACUUUGAAAUUUUGUAAUGCAUAAAACAAUGGAAAGGAUUUCUUUUUUGAUAGUAGAAUAGUUUUUCUGGCAGUCAUUCCAAUGAGCAGAAACAUAUUGAACUAUCUGUUCUUUAUCAUUAUCCCUUUGUUUCAAAAUUCCUCCAUAACCUAUGUCAGAUGCAUCGGUUUCAACAAUUUUAGGUAAUGCAGGAUUUGCAAGAAAUAAACAAGGAAUGUUUUUUACAGAUUGCUUUAUUAAUCUAACCACUUUGGUAUGCUCUUCUGUCCAUGCAACAGGAUUCUUUUUUAACCUAUCAUGCAAAGGUUUAGACAUCCUAUUGAUAUUAGGGCAGAAAUCAAGAACAUAAUUUAAACUACCAAGAAAUCUUUGUAAUUGGGUUUUGUCAAGAAUUUUGUCUGGGAAUUUAUCCGCAAACAAAAGUGAUCUCUCAAUAGGGGUAAUAGUGCCUUUGGAAAUAUGGUGACCAAGGAACCUGACUUUUGUUUGAAAUAAUGAAAUCUUUGUACUUGAAAGAGCCAGGCCAGCCUUUUUUGUAACAAGAUGAAAAGUCUUUAAAUGUUUGAAGUGUUGAUCAAUACUUUGAGAAAAAAUCAACACAUCAUCAAUAUAAACAAUACAAAACUCGGAGUAGGGGUUAUAAAUGUCAUUCAUGAUUCUUUGAAAUUCCGAGGGUGCAUUCUUUAAACCAAAGGGCAUAACAGUCCAUUCGUACUGUCCAAAUGGAACAGUAAAAGCAGUUUUAUAACGGUCUUUUGGAUGAAUUUGAAUUUGCCAAAAACCAGACUUCAUGUCAAAUUUUGAAAAAUAGAGCAGACACAUUUUUGAGCAAUCUUUUUAUUAGGUAUGGGGUACCUAAUCCAUUUUNNNNNNNNNNNNNNNNNNNNNNNNNNNNNNNNNNNNNNNNNNNNNNNNNNNNNNNNNNNNNNNNNNNNNNNNNNNNNNNNNNNNNNNNNNNNNNNNNNNNAGGGCUUAUAAUUUAUCACAAGUCUAGGAACGCCUCUUUCAAUUUCAGAAUUUUUGUUGACAUAAAAAGCGGCACAAGACCAAGGUGAUCUUGAUUUUACAAUAAGUCCUUUAUUUUCAAGAUCAUUAAUCUCAUCUUUACAAUGUUGUUCCAAAUCCAUGUUCAUUUGGAUUGGACGUGCUUUGGUGGGUAUUUGUUUUUCAUCAAAAGAAUUUUCAUAAGGCAGAUCUACCAAAUGUUGUUUCCUUUUCCAAAAAGCAGAUGGUAAAUCAGCACAUAUUUCUUUUUCAAUGAGGCUUUUGAAAUCAAGAAUUUUUCUUUGUAUAGAAUCAUUCUGAAGUUGAUUCUCAAUUCUUUGGAAAUUUAAAUCUUUUUGUAAGCAAAAUAAAUCAUCCUGUUUGGACUUAAGAAUGGCAUUAAUCUUAUUUUGGUAAACAGAACAAGCUUUGACAAUAUUCAAAUUCCUUGUUUUGGGUUUUUCAAUAAACGAGAAAACAAGGUCUUUGGAUUUUGCUUUGAAAUAUAUACCAUCAUAAUUGACAGCAUACGGGGUUAUAAGAUUUAUAAAAGGGGUUCCUAAAAUGAUAGCAUGGUGUAUAUCAUUUGUAAGAACAAAAGAAGUUUUAAAUUCAAUUUUAUUAUUAUAAAUCGAGGCUUCAACUUUGGAACUAACAUUCAAUUUUGAAUUAUUAGCGGCAGAAAGUCUUUCUUUUGUUUUUUCAUGAAAUCUUUUGGGGACGAUAUCUUCCCUGAUGCAAUUUAAAUCAGCGCCAGUGUCAAAAAGGGCAAUGGCGUCCAUAGCAAAAUCAUCAGAAAAGAUGAGAGUGACUUUAAUCAAAUACUUUCUUGUGGUGAUUUGCUUUAAAACAAAUAGAAAAUCAUUGGGCACAGACUCUAUGUUUUCUACUUUAAUAUCCUCACCAUCAUCAGGAUUGGAUUCAUUGUCUGAAUUAUCUUGCAAUUGUUUUUGUAAAAGAAGUUGGAUAGUCUCAGAAUCGCUUUUUUGUUUUUCUUUUAAAUCUCUGAUUUCACAUUUGAUUUCUUUUAUCUCUUUCUGAAGAUCUUGGAUAUUAGGAACUGCCUUUUUUGUUUUCUUUUUAUCCAAAAUUUGAGUGAGAUCAUAAGAAUUCUUCUUAAUAAUUGGAACCUUAGAAAUCUCAGUUGAGGUUCCGGCUUUGUCAGAAUCCAUGGUUUUCAAAAGUUUAUCAAGAUAUUCUUUUUGAAGAUUUGGAUCUGAAAUAUGCUUUACAAGUUCAAGAAAAAUUUCUUGGUCUUUAGUCAAAACAUUGAUUUUCUUUAAAUAGGAAUCCGAAUCAGAAUUGCUGCUGCUAGAUGCAGAGGUGUCUGAAUCAAAUAACUCAUCAACUUGGAGGGGGUCAUUAUCUCCCGACAUGGAAGACUCAGAGUCUGAGGACUCUAUAAGGAGGGGGGCUAUUUUGGAAAGGAUGUCCUCAUUGAGGUCAAGCUCUUGGAGUCUCUUGUUCAUUCUGCAAAACUUUGCAGUAUGACCUUUCAUACCACAUUUGAAACAAGUGGCAUCUAUAUAUAUAUAUAUAUAUUUUACUUUAUCCUGACUUUAAUAUAACGAGAGAUCUCUAAUAAGCACACACUCUCUAAUAUAUAUAUAUAUAUAUAUAUAUAUAUAUAUAUUGGUUAAUGAAUAAAUCACGGAUAAUCUUUCUACCCUUUACGACACGACGCCUGAAACAAGACAGAAGAAAAAGAGAAAAUUAACUUUUAAUAAUUAAUUUGAUUUGAUUUGUGGGUUCUAUGGGGCAAAGAUAAGGAAGCAUAAUUUUAUUGACUAAAGAUACCAUAAGAAUUAAGACUCGAAAGCUUUUCAGUGCAAUGUCGUGUCACAUGGACGCUAAAGUGAACAUGCAAUUUAAAUAAUAUUUUCUAGAUGACUAGUGAUUUAAUUGAAUAAUUGGUAAUCAUGAUUACGAAUAAUCUACUGAACUAAAAAAUUCAAAAGCUAAGCAAGAAAAUCGAGUGAAACUUGUGAUCAGCUACCCCCCCUAGAUCUAGAACUUGAUUUAAUAAGGCUGCUACUGGUAGUUGAUGAUGUUAUUAUGUUGACUACAAAGUUUAAAUUAAUAAACUAGGGUUGUUUAAAUUAGUUUAAAAUUAAUAAAAUAUUUUAGAUAGUUAUAGGUACCAAAGAAAAUUCUUAAAGUCAAAAAGAAAUUAAAGGAAAAAACAGAAAAAAGAAAAAAGAAAAAAGAGUCUUGAUACGACGAAUGACAGAGUGUUUUGAUCGUGUGUUGUAAUAUAUAGGUUGGAAUUUUAUUUUUUCAAAGUUUGAUGAUUUGGUUUGUGAUACGUAGUAGGUUAAAAGACUAAUUUUUAAUCUUUUAUUCUUUUUACAAUAUGAGAUAUCUCUCACUCAGCGACGUAUAAGAAUGACUAAAAAGAAAGAACAAAAUAUAUGAAGGGGGAUAAGAAAAUGAAUAAAAAAUUAAAGAAAAAAUUAUUUGAGUGCCCUUCAUAUACGUUAGUUAUAUUUAGGUAUUGAUCAUUUUUUUUUGGGUAUAAUUAGCAGAGGAAGACUGAAGAGUUUAGUCAGAAUUCGGUGAGUAACCAGAAAAAUAUACAUUAUCAAUUUUAAUCCUAAUAAAUUCGACUCAAUGCACUCGUGUCUAUGUUCAAUUUUAAUUCUAAUAAAUAAUUAUUGUUAGUUUUCUAAUUAGAUUUUUAUAAAUAAAUUAAUUAAUGUAAAGAAUAUUAUUACAAGAAGUCUUAUUAUUGUAAAAGCAAAACAGAAGUAACAAGUAAGGGUGGAAAUGUAGGGUGUGUUUGGGAGUGAGAUGCUGUAACUUUUAAGCUGUAGCUGCUGUGAAGUAAAAGUCAUAGCUAUAGAGUAGAAGUUGGAAAAAAAAUUUACGAAACUAUCAAAGCCCAACUAUUAAAAUGUUUGGCUACAAAUGUUACCAACACUUUAGUAGUUAAGUUUUGACAGCACAACUAGCUCACAACACUCCCAAACAGGUUAAUAAUGUAGUUAAGUUAAAAUAUAUGAUUAAACGAACAUUUAUCCUAGUUUAAAACCAGUGAAAAAGUUUCAGUAUGAAUGCAGUUAUAGCUUCUCACAAAAGCUUAUCAUUAUAUAAAACAUAAAUGAAUCAUUACAUAUGAAGGAGAGUAUUUUUUGUACAAAUAAUAAUAAUAAUAAUAAUGAUAAGCUAGCUGUUCACAGCAUGCAUAUAUAUGAUCAGAACUGCGUGACUCUUCUAUUGACAAUUUUGCAAGUGUAUUGUCAGAGUUUACUUAUUAUAUUAUAAAUCAUAAGACGCGGCCUUCAUCCAUGAUUGGCUCUUGAAAUUAUGGGAUUGCAGGUGAGAAUCAAAAUAUGUUUGUUUAUAAAGAAACUGAAAUGCUUAGACUUUAGUGUUCUACGUAUGCUAGCAUUAAUAAUGCAUGGGGUUACCAGCUGAGCUGAGCCAGCUAUCGAAAGUGCUUCUUAAAAAAAGCACUUCCCACUCGUAAGAAUAUUCUUCUUUGAUCUUUGCAUACUGUUUCAGGAAUGGCGUCGGUCGCACUCACAUGUCAUUACGAUCGGGUGCUUGAGCUUCUUUAGGAAAAGCUUCCAUUAUUUUUAUUACAUCUAGGAGUGCUUCUACAGAAAGCACUUCUAAUGAUUCGUACAAUGAAGCAUAUAAUAAGCUGAGGGGAAAAUAAUAAUAAUAAUAAUAAUAAUAAUAUUGAACCGACUUUUUGACGUGUGCUUGAACAGUCGAACCAUGAAAAUGAAUGUUCAUUGACUUGCCCUUCAAUUACGGCAAAAGCACAUGCUAGCUUCCUUGUAGAAUCACAUUCAUUAUUAUUAUUUUUUUCAAUAAUCAUCAUUAGCUUCAGUACAUUAUGCACCAAAAAGGAUAUUCAAAUUCAAAUCCCCAGAGUCCUUUUUUUUUUUUUUAAUUUAGUCCAUCACGGGUUAAUGACUUCAUAUUUAUUAUGUGUGCGGCUCUUCUUUUGAUCAAUUUACAUAACUAAUUUCGUCAUUACGUAGAUCUAAUAAAAUUAAUGUCAAUAAUAUGUUUAAUAUCCACGAAUAAGCGAAAAAUAGUAAUGAAAGGAAACUUAUGUUCAAUGUUUUAAUUCUUAAAUGUUAGGUGUCUAAUUGUAUAAGACGAAGUUAGGGUACAUGGUUGUCAUUUUUUCUUGUUAUAUAUAAAAAAUAUAUAACGCAUAUAUUUGUCUAGUUAUUUUCGAGAAGCCAUAGGUAGUUUUGCUGUUGACGAGUGAUCUAGCUGGAGCCUGGAGCUGGGUAGCUUAUAAUAUAUAAUAAUCAUGAGAAUUUUUCUCGGGAAAAUUCAAUCAUGAAUGAAGAGAAGCAUGUGAUGAGAUAAGAGGAGUCACAUGCAAUUUUUAAGUUUGCAUUGAUCAUCAAAAGUCUUGAAACUGGCAUUCCGAAAGAUCUUAUAAAACUAAAAAAUGACUUGGCUUUGGCUUUGUCAUUUGUGUAAAGAAAAGAAUGUUCAUGUGAUUAUUGAGUAAUGUUUUUAUGUUCAUGGAAGCUGAAACCCUAUCAGGGCAAGCCACGUUCCAAAGCACAUGAUUAAGGGGACUUUGUGGUCCAAGGAUACUCCUGAAUGGGCAUCAUCUCAGUUCAUGACUACACAAUUUGACAUGUUAUGGGAACUAGCUCAUACAUGGGAACUAACAUGCAUGGAGCCUCAAGAAAUAUUGUAUAAUUAAGAUUUAUCAUUUUGGUACUACAUAAUUUUUUAACAAAUCCAUCACCACUUUAUAUUUGCCUUAGCAGCAGUUCACAUUAGGAGAAAUUUCUAGUUCCAAAAAAGGAAACUGGGAAGAAGAAGCAAAAAUGAAAUUUCCAAAUUAUCAGGGUUCAGACAAUAUCACACUAAGCAUUCAACAACUUUUUGCACUUCUUGGUUUUUGUGCUUCCAGUCUUCUUUUGCUUCUUAUAUUCAUCAUAUAAAUGUAGGGAUAACGUUGCACGAUCUAACUCAUCCCUCAAUCUCUCGUUUUCCUUAAUGUUGCGGAGAAGCAUAAAAUGGUCACCAAGUUUCUUGCUCACUUCAUUCUCAUCAAUUGAACCUGACAUGUUUGAUGAUAAUUCAGUGUUUGCCAAUAUGGAAGUCCCAUUUCCUCUUUUCCUCCUGCUGCUUGAUUUUUGAGUAUCACUCUUUGAGUUGAAUGACUCCCUUUCAAGUAACAAAUCCAUGAAAGCUUGUUGCGGGGAGAGAAUGGCAUGAUAAACUUGGUUAUGAGCAGAGUUCAUGCCUGCAAUGCUUGAAGCAGCUGUUGAAAUAGAUGGAUGAUAGUGUUUAGAUAGAAGGUUGAUCUCCCAGAGGACUGAAGCAAGUGCACCACUUAAAUUGGGAUCCAUGGCAUAGGGCUGAUAUAUCUGCACGUGUAAGAGAGAGAGAGAGAGAGAGAGAUUAGAUCAGUCUUGGUACGCAAGCUUCCCCAAUCCAUUGUCGUGUAAAUAGUAGGCUGGGUCAUAUGUCAUCAUUAACUUCACAUCUCUCCCACUUUAACAUUACAGAACAAGACUAGCAAGAGAACUCACCGAAAUAGAACCUGACACUGAGCCACCUCCAGCAUCAUUUUCCAACAGAUUUCGGCACUUAAUAUUCUUCUGCAGUAGAUUUUUUAAAGUGACCAAGGCUGCAAGAGUGCAAAAAAGUUAACCAUAUAAUAAACUUCAGUAAAACCAUAACAAAGUACCUGAAAUAGUAACAAACUCUAUCUAAUAACAAACAUACCAGCCAUGGAUUCUGCAGAUCCGAUGGAUAAUGAGAAAGUAGCCAACCGUUUUACAAAUGCAGCAGCCUUUUGCAUGUCAUGCUGUCUAUCAUCACAUAACAUUAUCUUCAAAGCCUCAGCUAACACUUCACCUUGAUCUCUGAUCAGAAAUUACAUUGCAAAUGAAAUGAGAAAAGUUUUAAUAAGAAGCAGUAUUUGUGCGGUUUCCAUAACAAAUUUUCAAGAAAAAUUGUAGAUCUAAGUAUAGCAUGGUUAGAACUAACCUUCCAGGUCUGUACUCAAGAAUAAGAUUGUAAAGCUGGACAAAGAAGUCCUGUAAAUCAACAUUCAAGGCAUCAAGAUUAUUCCUCAUUACUCUAAAAGCAACAAUGCAGCAUCGGAGGCGUUCAGUAACAGUCAAAUGAUUCGAGUUUUUCUGGGAAGGGCCGUCAUUGCUGCUACCUCCACCAGCAAGCCUUUUCAAAUAGUUCAUAAGAUCGCCGAUGUAAUCCAAGUCAAUGAGAUGAGAGAACUUUCCCAAUCCCUUUAGACAUGGAGCAAGCAGUGGGUGCGCACCAGAUGCACCACCAAUCGAACUAGCAUUUGCUUCAGAACUGAGCAAAGAAACAGGUAAACUAAGCAACCACUCAAAACACAUGAAAUUCCAGACAGACGACGCAUGCAAAACAUGUAUGCCCUAGUUCAAACUAGCUAUAUAUGAUUAGUUACGUUGCUUUGCUAUCUCGGAUAAUAUUUGCUAAUAUUCCAGCAACCGAAAAGUAAAGUGCUGCCUCUUUGUAGUACAGUAGAGUCACAACCACACCCAACUGAACCCAGUUCUUCAUUGUAUAAUAUAGGAACACACCUGACAGCAGUGAACAUCAUGGUGUGCUUCAGAAUUCGAAAAUAAGUCUCAAAUACAGCAGAAAUUGUUUCGGUCUGCAUCCUUCUCUUCUCCAUAACAUCUGGGGCAAGAGAAGCAGCUUUGUACUCAGCAGCAACCUGUGUGAAGCACUAAGAACGUCAGUACCAUAACUAUAAUGAGCAAAACUUCAGAAAAAAAGAAGCAAUUGAUGGUUUUGGAAGAAUAAAUACCUCCUCUCUCGUUUUUAACAUCAAUUCUUUCUUGUUUUUCUUUCUUUCAUUUUGCUGCAAUUGGCUAGGCUCCUCAAUGCUCUUUCUUUUAUUAUUUUUCUUGUUCUUAACUUUGCUCUUAUCAUCUGGCACUUCACGUCUCUGAAGAUCUUCAUCAAAUGAUAAGGACAUAAAUACCUAGGACAGAUGCCAGGUUCAUUAAACCAGCUUAGUAGAAAAUUCGAAUAACAAAAGGGAACUGAAUAAGGAAACCAAAGGCAUAUCAUACCUCAACAAAAUCAGGAUGCAAUUGACAAUUUUUAACUUUCACAUGGUUUGCAAUCAAUCGAACUGCCUCAACAGUAGCCGCACCACCAUGUUUUCCUUCGUUGGUAAAAAGUGACUUGAUUGUAGCACAACAAAGUUUCCUGCCAAUAAGUAGGCAAUUUAGUUUUACAAAAAGGAAAACCAUCUUUGACAGUACUCCAUUGUCUUUGAAACUAAAAACAGAUUACAGGUAAUACAAAUGUACAUUGUGUGAGGAAGCAAAAGAAAACUCUAGCCCACAGUCCUAUUUAUGCAGUUGUUACAAGAAAGGGAAAAGAUGGUUCACUGUGGAACCGUGGCCGGCAUAGAGACAUUUGCCAAAAGGGACUGGAACUACUCAAUUUUGGAAAUUAUGGAAAAAGGAAAAUGGGAAAUGAAGAAACAGACAGGUCACAACCUCAAUGAAGUAAUGAUGAAAGAAAAAGGACAUUAUCUGGGUUUUUGAAACCAGGGCACAUUUAUUUUAUCUGCAGUCCAUCAUACAAGAUUCCAGACCCCACUAGAUAAUUGAAAAGGAAGCGAAAUAGUAAGAGCCAAAAGCAUAAAUAUAACGGAACCUCACAACAACAUCCUGGGAGCCUAGGUUUCUGACAACAACCUCCAACAGGAUCUCACAGCAGUUAAAGUGGGGAACUGCAUCAAGCAAAUUGCAAAUGCAACGAACAACCACUUGGUGAAACACAGGCUGCUUUUCUGAUGCUAUCAACUUCUGGAGGUAUGCCUGUGAAUGGGUAUCCAAGAAGAAGAUUAAUUCACAGUAAAUUAUGAUAGCCUUACAGUAUAAUAAGUGAAAAAUAUUAAUCCAUGGCAAGGAUUUAGAUAUUUCUUUCUCCCAAUAAAAUAUGAGUGAAAAAUAUCAAUUUGAAAUGACAGGAGUCAAAAUGUAAAGUGAAAUACCAGAGAGGGGUGGGGUUCAUUUUUUAAUUCUUAAAUAAAUAAAAUGUAAUUCAGUACUUUGAUUUCCAUUCCUCUCCCCUAAUGUAAUUCAUUACCUUGAUUUCCAUACCUCUCCCAAAGUUUUACUUUAAAUUCUCUCUCUUCUGCUUGACCAAGCAACUAAAAUCAUGCCAAAUAUUCAAAAAUAGAGUUCAAAUUAUAAAAGCGAAUGAAACCAGGAGUUUUGGCAGUAGUUAAAAGAAAAUUCUUUAUGCCUCUAAAAACUGUUUAUCCUCCUUAGAGUUCCCUCCAAUCAAAUUUCUGUUCUAGGCCUUUAGCUCAACUUACACAAAGAUUGUGGUCAUCUCAAGACUUCAAAAUUACCUCUAAAAGAAACAAAACAUGUGAAUGAUAUAAAGAAAAAUGCACAGUAAGCGUGCAUGCAUGCAAAUUGCAAAAGACAGAAACUGAUUAAAAUAAUAGUCACUAAAAGGAGCAACAAGUCCAACCUUGUAAGCGGAUAAAAGUGUUGAUUCAUAAAAUCGCAUCUUCUUAACCUCCUUGGAAACCUUCAUCUCUAGCUCUUUUUCAGUUGGAAGCCUAAUCCGGUAGCUGCCUUAUAAAUGAAGAAAAGCAAGAAAACUUUAUCAAUUAUAAGUAGAGAACAAAAGGUGAACAUGCACAAAGCAUACAGGGAGAAUUUGAAAACAAAACAUGAGCUCUACCCAGGAAUAAUGUCUUUGAAAACAGCCAACAAUGACAGAAACCCAAGUUUGGAAAUAGAAGGAUUGUCAUCUCUAGCAAUUUGUAACAUCUCUUUCAAAGACUUAAUAUUGGACUCUGGAUCAGCAAGCAGUGCCAUUCCAAGUUCUGCAAGUUUACACUUCUUGCUUUCAAACAAUUCUUCAGCCGUGAGAUCUUCUUUCACCUCAGCCUAGAAAAAGAGUAAAUAUAGCAUCAUGGAACAUACAAAACGCACGUAUAAGAUGUGCUAUGAUUACAUGCUCACUAAGGAUGCAGUUUGAAGAGAUUAUACUACAUUUGAGAAGGGGGUAAAAAAUUAUUGAAAUGUUAAAUAGAAAUCCAGAAACAAGAAAAAAGUACCAGCACAGCCACUUGUGGGGCUUGCUCUGCUUCUUCAGGUUUACUCAACUUCUUCCCUUCUUUCUUUGCCUCUUUCUUACUUUUCUUAAGCUUGGCUCUCCUCUCUGCUUUUGUCAGCUUAAUGAUGCCUUCAUUUCCACCGCCAUCCUUUUCACCCUCUCCUACUUCGUUUUCAUCUCCGCCAUUUUCUGGUUUAGGUCCUGCAUCAUAGGUGAAACCACAAACCAUUCAAAUCUCAUCCCACAAUUGAAACACUGAACAUCCGAGAUUCAAAACAAGAAUAACCAAGGGAAACAUUAAAAAGUUCAAUACUCGUCCGGUAAUAGAGUUUCCCAUCCAAUGUCUUGACAGGAAGAGCAUCAACAGGAUCAAGUUGAAGCCCUUUAUCCUCAUUUUCUUUCAGCACCGACGUUUUCCUUAAUCGCUUCUCAUAUAAUGCCUCCAAAUCAUCUUCCUUCACAUCCGCAACCCGUGUUACAUGCCUAAAGCAAUAAAAAAUCCAAAUGUUUUUGACAAAUUAUACAAUUAAAAAAAAACACAAAUUUCACAUAAUUCACAAUUUUUUUAAACAUUUUUCUCGGAACAAAAUUAAACACAAGUAAAAAUUGCAACUUUGAUCCUUUUUCCAAAUUAAACAUUCAUCUCUUUAAACAUUAGCCUUUAUUUUAUUUUCAGUUACCUCUUCUGCAAAUUAGCAUGAAUAUUGAGCUCAUUAAGCAACCAAAAAAAAAAAAAAAAAGAAUACAACGACAUUUCGUGUUCUAAUUUUUAACUGAAGGCAAGCAAAGAGUUAAAAAGCUACGAACUUGGUGAUAGAAUGAGUGUCUAAGCGGGAAACAAAGCCGGCGUAGUCACGAUUUUCGCUGACGAAUUGCAAGUCCUCAUCCGAAACUUCUAUUUCGUCCUCCAAUAUUUCGGGUGGAAGCUCCGGCGGUAGUAUUAUCUUCUGCUUCUGCUUCUUCCCCAUCGUUCGAAUUCGUCACGUCAAUGCACUGGUUCCAGUCUCAGAUGAGACUCCAGGGUUUAGGGUUUUGAUAAUGAAAAGGAAAUUUUGGGGGCUUUUGAAUUGGGCCUAAUAAAGGUUGGGCCAAAACCUCAAUGAUUUAAUGGAUCUGGUACAAGCCGGAUUCAGCUCCGUGUCCGUGAUCAAUAUCCGGGUCAGGGGUUUAAUACAACAGAUUUUUACGGGAAAUACUUGGGUGUUAGUGGCACCGUGAUCUGGUAAGCUCGUUCAAUAUGAGUAUUCAAUAUAUGUGAGACAAAUGGUGCAGCCCAGCCCAUUAUUAUUGCGCAAGCGAAAGACUUGGACCCAGGGGAGAUCACCACGCACGUAAUCAUACGUUAUGGGUGCAUUUGGCAUACUGGAUUGUAUUAUAUUAUAUUAUAUUAUUUUAAUAUUAGUGUAUUAUAUUAUAUUGUAUUAUAUUAGCACUAUAUUAUAAUAAUAUUGUACAAUGUUUGGCGCUACACUGUACUGUAUUAAUUUUUUGUAAUUAAUUUAAAUUAUAUAUUUUAUUAUAUUAUUAUUUAUAUUCUUAUUAAUUUUAAAUUAAUAUUAUUCAAAUUUAUUCAUAUUUAAAUAUUUAUUACUAGUUAUAUUAUAUUAUAAAUUUAUUAAUAAAUUACAAUAUAAAAAUAAAAAAUAUAAUAUAAUAUUAUUGAAUAAUAAAUUAUAUAUUUAUUAAUUUAUAUUAAAUUAUAAUUUAAAAAUAAAAAAUGUUACAUAAUAUUAUAUUAAAUUAAAAAGUUAUAUUUAUUUUUUAUUAUUAUUAUAAGCAAAAACAAAUGCAAAAGAAGGAAAAAAGAAAAAAAAAUGCAAGCUGCAGACGCAAAAGAAGGAAAAGAGAAAAAAGAAAAAAGAAAAAAAGAAAAAAGGUAAGCUAAUGCGGCAGUUGCCGCAUUAGCUAGAGUACCCUUAACCCGUGUUAUGUUCUCCCAAACAUGAUACAAGUAUUAACGUAACGUGAACAGUAAUUUAAUACCCUCUUAAUAUUACAACCAAACACACCCUAUAAAGCGUGUAACUGUAUGUAUUAGAUCAAAGCUCUAAACUCAAAUUAAAUAUUUCUUUUUCUAGACUCCCACAAAUGUGCAUGGGAUCGUACAUUUUUCCUCAAAUAUUAGUUGGAGUAUAUUUUCCAAUGAAUAUCAAUAAACCUAUAGAUUGUACUACAACUGUAUAUGUAUUUAGAUAUUAAAAAACUUCAUUUUAUAAUCAAUUUUUUUUUAAAAAAAUAAAUUAAAUAAAAAAUACAGCAGCAACAAAAACAGCAGCAUUGUACUUUCACCGUUCGUACUAUGAUGAUGAUGAUAAUAAUAACUCCAUAACGAGACACGCAAAAGCAAAAAUUAAAGGCUAAUCACAUAUUGUUUUCAUUAUAAAUUAUGUAGGCCAAUUGACUGCCUAGCUUAAUUAAUUCACCCUCAGGUACUACCCAUAAUCUGUAUUAAUUAUUGCAUAUCUACCUAUCAUUUUCGCAAUAUACCUGCGUGACAUGCAUGCAUGCAUUGCUUUUUUUACAAAGAAAAAAACACAUAAACAAGCUAACGCGUUCAUCGAUAAACUCAUACACUUGAGUAUCGUUUAAUUUCUAUUACGAACAUUACAAGUUGAAAAAUAUUAAUUUAAUUUGUAUUUUUUUCCCCCUUUUUUACAAUAUGUGUAGGUAUUUAAAAAUCUUAUAUUUUAUGCAUGAUCCCUUUCAUAUGAUCAUAUCUUAUUGAUUCUUUUAGACAUUUUAAAAAAAAUUUAACUCUUAAAGCUGUUAAUUGAUGGUGAUGGAGGUAGGGGGCUUCGCAUUUUAGAGAUGGCAAAAUAGGCUAGUUUUUUCUCAAGCUUACUGUAGAGAAAGUUUAAGAGCGAGGCUCGGACUUUCAACAUUUUUUAAUAUUUUCAAAAUUAUUGUAAACUUAAUAUAAGUUAAUGAUCAAUAAGUUGUUAUAAUCAACAAUAAAUUAAAGAGAAUGGAUAUUUCAAAAUAAAUAAAUAAAUAAAAUGAAGUUACAAUAAAAUCUUAGUGAUUUGAUUUUUUUUAAAAAAAAAAACUAGAAUCUCUAAUUCAAGCAACUUUUUUAUUAAUUAACACUUAAAGAGAGUUUAUUAUUAUAAUUUAAAUUUUUUUAAACACUAUUGAUUUAUGAAUUAAGAACUUAAAUUUCCUUUUUCUAUUAUUUUUUCUUAAGCACUCCAGAUCCUAACGCGGAGGCCUGGAAGACCAGGCCGACCCGAACUAUUUCAUCCACCGCAAUCGCAUUCAUAUAGUACAAGUUUUCAAACUAUUAGUGUUAGAAGUUCAUGUAGUUGAGCUCAUUUUAUGGUGACGACGACCAAUCAAACAUUAAUUAUUUUAGUUAGCGGCAGACAUUUGUUUCUUUUCGUCAACUACGGCAUUAUAAUGUGAUAGAUCAUUGGGGCUUAAUAAAUUAUAUUAUUUUGUAAAUUUUAUGGCCACCAAAAAGAUGAAAGAAGAGAGAAAGAGAUAACUAUUUAUGUUGUAAAUAUUAUAGCUAGGUUUAUAUUAAUUACAAUUUUAAAAUUUUACGUUAAAAAAAAAAAAAGAGAAGAAAAACAAAGAAAUCUAGUAACGAUGCUCCUAUUCUGACAUUUUCCUCCAUUAAUUUUUGUAAAUUUAAGAGGAAUAAUAUCUGAAAAUUUCCGUUCACAUUCGUAAUUCAAAAGGGGCAGCUUUAUUUUUAUUUUUAUUUUAAUUUUAUUUUCUUGAUCUUUCAACAUUCAUGCACACGUGCUCCUCUUUCUUGGGUCCAGAUUGAUUGCUUAAAUGCCCAAAACUCUCUCCAUUAAUUGAAGAAUUGGUUUUAUUUAAUGGGUUCAUUAGCAGUCACUCUCCCUUAUUAAUUGCGUUUUUUCAGAUUGUUCAACCAUAAAUAAUUCAUGUGACGUAGACUUUAGGCUUACCAACCCCCCCACCCCCCAUAUUUUAAUUAACUUCUUUGCUAAUUAAAUAAUCGGCAAUUUAUGUCCCUCAACUAAACUUUAUGUGGGCAGUAGGUAGAUAUUUUCUCAAUUAUUCAUUCAAAUAGAUUUACGAAAUAAUUCCCAACAAGAUAUUUAGACUGAAUUACAUAAUAUACAUAUUUUAGACCCUUGAUAAAUUUUAAAUUAUAUUUAUUCGGACUCAAAUAAUUUUAGAAAAAAAAAAUUCAUUAUUGUUUUAAAAAAAAAAUCUUAAUACACCUUAGAUUGCGGCUUUUGUAUCUAAUAUUUGUAAAAUGCUCGAUAUGAAUAUGUUUUGUCUGCAUAAGUUUCUAAUGCGUUUAAUUUUGAGUCAAUAUUAUACCCAAAAAAAAAAAAAUGUAAGUUUGAUCUUUAAAAGUCAAUGGUCAUCACCUAAACGAGUUAAAAAUUCAACAGUUUCAAUCAUUUAAUUGUUUUUAUUUAUCCAUGAGCUUAUUAAUUUUUCAAAAAUCUCGAAUUUUUGGUACUCCCUAAGACUCUUCUUUUGCAGUUCAUCUAACCAACCCUCACAAUUUGAUACAAUCUUAUGGCAAUAGGAAUUGGGUAAAUUAAAUGCCAAUGUUCUACAAAAAACCCUAGGUUAAAUGCUUUGAUUUUAUGUGCGGUUGAGAUUCGUGCUCCACCAUACAUCGGCUCCAAUAUAGUCACAGCCUUUUUUAACACAUGGUUAACUGGAUAAUUAACUCAAACUGUAGGAACUAAAGAUGCAUUUACUAUAAUCUUAACUGUCAACCGAAAAUUGAUUAUCAAAACAAUGAAUUUGUUGGCAUUUCACAUUCAAUUAAUCUCCUUCUUCACGGUGGGCAAUCAAUUUGAAGACAAACAUAUUAAGAAUUAAAGCAGCAUUAAUGAUAAUUAGGUAAAUAAAUUAAAAGCACUUAAAAUGCUGUGAUAAUCCGUACAGGAAGCAAGCAACAGAUACACAUCGACUUCGACAGUGUUUAGGUAACUUAUCUUUUUCCUUCAUUAAAGAACAAACACAUAUAUUUUGUGAGGUUUACAUGUCUCUAUCCCCUUCUUAUUAAAAGUUUAAAACCCUUUUUUUUUUUUUUCUCGCUCAAUUUAAAGAAUUAGAUUCCAUCAUGAUUUGAACAUCUACGGAUCAAAUAUCAUGUUAAUGAUUAAUAAUUAUUAAGUAAAAUUAAAUCAUAAUCAUACACUACCAUUAAAAAAAGAGUAAUGAUACAGCCACAAACUCUUGUACAAAUUUAUUUUGUACAAACUGAUGUGGCUUGAUAAGAUUGGUUGAAUUAAAUAUCACUUGGCCCACAUGAUUUGUUUUUAUUAAUUUAUAUUUUCAUUCAACCAAUGAAUUAAUGCCACGUCAGUUUGUACAAAAUAAGUUUGUACAAGAGUUUGUGGUUGUAUCAUUACUCUUAAAAAAAUGCAUAACAUAAGAUUUUUUUUUCAAAAAUUCAGAAUAACUCCCAUUUUCAUUAAUAUUUAACUCGAUCAUACAAUCCACAACUCAAGAUUAUAAAAUAAAACGAGAUUAAUUAAAGAGUUAAUAGACACGUGGGUGCUCAAUGCAUGAAAAAAGUCACAAUCUGAAAUUAAUGAAUUGCCUUAAACUAAAAGGACUUCGUAACAUGCCAAUUAUGUUUGUAAAUUUCAAAUCUAGUUGGGGGAAGUCUAAAUACAGAAAUUAAACAUUUCUUCAGUGUGAAUGCCAUUAAUGCACUUGAUAAAAUUCUGCAGUUUUUAUUAAUUCCUUAAUGACUUACAGCCCCCAAUUUUUUUGUUUGAAUUAAGCUCUUGAUAAGUUCUUUUAUGGGAAGCACGAUUGGAUUAAAGCACUUCCUAUAAAAACUAGUGCAGCAGCUGGCAGACGGAGAUUUUAUUUUUAAAUACUGUGCAUGAAAAAUUAGUAAUUAAGUUUAUUCAUUAAAAUAAUUGAAUAUCAUUCAACAUUCAAUAAAAGUUCAAGCCAAUUCAAAGUUUCUCAGCAAGCAAUUAAUGGUUGAACGUAUUAAUUAUUGAAAUAAAGAACCCACCAAAUUGUCCUUUUCUUUUCCCAAUACUCUUUUCGGACCUUUGAAUUAAAAGGAAAAUGAAGAAUAGUUGGUCCCAUAUAUUUAAAACCUUCUUGAUUAUAGAUUUAUAGCUCACCUACCUAAUUAAAUUUAAAAAUUUUUAGUAAUAAUUAAGGAUGAUUGAGCUUAAAAUUAGGGAAGGAUGUGAGAUGGGUUUGAGAAAUACAGCGUAUAAACUCAUAUUAGAAGGCAGGUACGAGGCCUCAAAAGACCAUAGUGAAAUUAAAUUCUCAUUUACUAUGAGUUAGGUAUAUUAAUGAAUUGGAAGAGUAGUAAAUGUUCAUAAUUAGCUUGAAGCAAGAAACCAUGAAGCUCAUGAUGAUCAUUUUGACAAAGUGUAGGUGAAUGCAACUAUCAAACAUUUAUAGGACACAACCAUAUUUUUGUACAUCAUUAUCUCUUUUAAGAGUAAGUGGAGAUGGACAAGAAACACUUUUUAACUACGAAAGAUGGCUAAAUUGUUGAGCAAUUAAAGUUCAUGGAUAAAAGUCACAUCCUUAGAUUUAUUGCGGUUUCCUUCUAUAGCAUACAAGUUACAACAUUUUCUCCAAACAAAAUUUACCAUUUUUGGUUAGAUUUUAAUAGAAUCAGUAAAUAUUAUAUUUCAAAAAGGCGAAUGAGAUCACUAUAUCACGAAUAUACUUUUAAUAAUUAUUUAAUACGGUUAUUUACAUGACAUUUAUAUUUAACAAUAAUGUUUAGUCUUAAAUUUAUAUUUCGAAAUAUAAACAUCCGCAUUAGGAGGGGAAAAAAAAAGUAAUUUAACAUGAAAUUGGGAGUGAAGUUUCAGAAAAUAAUGUCGAAUUGCAUGUCUCAUCUAAAAUGAAAAAUGCCACAUGCCACAUUACGUGAUUAGAUCUUUUUAGCCACUACCAACCAAUCCGAAUAGUGUCUUUGACAUUUCUUAGCAUGAAAAAUAAAAAACAUGUGUUGAAGAAUCAGAAGCGACGACUUUCAGCAUACACUCGGGAAUAAAACAUAUUUAAUUAUUUCUACUAUUACAUUUCAAGCAAAUUCAGAAUUGAAUUCACAAACUCAAAUACAGAAGAAGCCUGAAGUUAAUAUAUAUAUAAAUAUAGUGCUGAUAAGAAAAGCAACAAUAAUUUUCUUCUUUUGUUCCAUGCUCUUGCCAUAAAGAGUCCAAAUUUACGCAUAACUUUCAUUUUUCUUUGCUAAUAUUUAUAUAUAUCUAUUUUCAACCAAUUGGCUCAUCUAUCAUUUACAAAAUCAAAAGCGUUAAUUGCAUAUAAAAUUAAAUUAAACUCAAACCUUCUGAUCAAACUCUCUCAUAAUCAUAUAGAUAUAUUGAGAUCAAUCCGAGGCUUCUUCAUUGCCGGAAUUGGAACAACCGAAUUGCACCUUGGACACGUUGGAUUGUUCUUCAUUAUCAACACAUAACAUAAGCAUCCGGGGCACCCUGCUGCUAUUGGUGAAGCGACUAACAAAUUUUCUUCCAUUAGUUCUUGAUCAUCUUUCGAGUCUUUGAUGGAAGAUGAAGACGAUGAAUAUGAAGGUGAUGAGAUGGCUAGCGAUGAAUUAUUAUUGUUGUUGUUAUUGGAAUUCCACGUUGAUGAUAAUCUCUUCUUGUUAGGAUCCUUCUUGGCUCGUUCAAGAGCUGAUUUUACUUUAUCCAAAGUGCAUACACUUUGAUAGUUGCUGCCUGAUGAUUGUGAGGAUGAUGAAACUAGUUUUAACUCCAAGCUAUUUUCAUCCAAGAGAUUUAACAAAGGUUUUGAUGAUGGUGACUCUGGGAAAUUUAAAUCUUGAAGCCUUUGUACUGUUUGAUUGGUUUGCUGAUAUUGCUUGUGAUCUGAGGAUGAUGGAGAGCUUGGCAUGUUGCAUCUUUGUAAAUAGACCUUACCUGACUGCAAUAACCAAAAAUUGGAAAAAAAAAAACAAUUAAUUAGUCUAAUUAAUAAAAUAAUGCACUAUGUGUGAUUGAUCUCUUUGGUUCAAUUGACUGAAAUUAAAGAUGAAAGUGGAAAAUUCAAUAUCUAAAUUACCAAGGCUUCUAAAAUAUCACAUGAAAGAAUGAUUAAAUGAACAAAGGAUCAUUACAUAACUUUUGCAUAAAGAAAAUUUAUAGCUCUUCAAUUGAUUUGGUGGGAAAAGUGAGGCACUUGAAAAAAGUUGAUUCCUUAAGUGCUUAAUUACCUUUAAAAAAAAAAAAGAAUUUUCCUCUGGUUUCACAGCAACCAAACAGACAAUUAAACAACAAAGCAUAGAAUUCCAUAGCAAACAGAGCAACAAUAAAAACAUAAAAAAAAUAGAACAACCCAGAUUAGAAAAUAAGCAAAAUGAAUGAAUAACCAUUUAUGGAGAAGUUGACUAUUGACGUGUUUUGGCACAAUUCAAAUUGAAAACAUAUUUUCUGUUCAUUUUCUAUUAUACUUUCUCAAGAAACAAACAACCCCAGUUUAGAAAAUUAAUAAAAAAAAGCAAUACCUUCAAGUCUAGUCGCUUUUCCCAACCAUUAGGAACCUGCAUGUCAAGGUCCAAUUCUUGACACUCAUUAUUACUAUUAUUAUUCAUCACAACUUCACUGCCGCCACCACCACCAAGCAAAUCUCUAGUGAUCAGAGCCGCUGGUGAUUCAUUUGCAGCCGCCCGAUCAUCCUUGUACCUGUUAAGUACUCGAACCAAAGAGCUCACAUCAGCUGCCAUGUCAAAAGCUCCCUUCUUCUUUUGCUUCUUCUUUAUAAGAGAGAGGAGAGAAAUAAAUGUAAAGAGCUUGUAUGGGAACUAUAUAUUAUAUACAAGUGAAGUAAAUAUAGUCCGUUACAAAAAUGAAAGAUUUAUUAAUGAUUAUUUAUUUUUUGAAUUUAUUAAUUAAUUUGAAUUACUUAUUCGAUAAUAUAUAUUUUUUUAAUUAAUGAUGUCAUUUAUUGUUGCUAUUUAUUUAUGGUAAGUGAAAGAGUGGGGGGGGGGGGGGGGAGAAUUUAAGGAAAGGGGAAUGGUGGCAUUAAUUGCAUGGAAAUACAAGUAGGGAUAGACACAUUAGCCCCUAUUUUUGGGUAUUCAAAAUGUUUCCCUUGUUUUAAAGUUAAUUCUUUUUAAAACAAUAAAUUAUGUAUUUUAAAUUAUUUCAGCAUUCAGAUAUAUAUUGCAGUUAGGCACAAUUAUUUAAGCUAAUCAGUUUAAAAUUUGUGAACCGAUCAGCUCUUGGUUCAGUUCGAUUGUUCAAGAGAUCGAUCAAAAUCGAAAAAAUAAAAAAAAUAAAACGUUGAUCACAUUGGUUCAUUAUAUUUGUUCUGGUCAAGAUCGAUUUGGAAAAUUCAUAAAUGAAUCCAUCGACACUCAAACUCAAUAAGUAAUUGAGUAUAUGUCAGAGGUGCAAUAAUAUGUAGGGAAAAUGACUAACAUACCCUCAACGUUUAGAAAAAAGAAUAAAAACACUUGGAAUAUCUUAAAAAAGACAUCCACACCCCUAUUCAUUAACGGAAACUGUUAUUUUUAAUAGAAAUUAUAUUAAAAAAUAAUUUUUAAUUAUCUAAUUUUUCUAUAUAUUGUUAAUAAAAUUACAAAUAUACCUUCAUUGCCCAAUUCCUCUAUUUAAUUUUUUAUCAAAUUCUCUCUUCAAGCAAAAUAAAUUUAAUUCAUUAUCAAUUUUUAUGUCUAUUGGAUAUGUUAUUUAAUACAAUUAAGAUAAGAUUUUUGAAAUUAUUGUUUUAAUCGGCCGUUUUUUAUUUGGUUGAUUAUACAAGUUUAAAUGAUUGACAUGUGGAGAAUUGUUAUUCUUAUGGCAUGACCAAUUUUAUUUAUUUAUAUUCUUGAGUAAUGGAUUAAAUUUAUUUGGCUUGAAGAGAGGCUUUGAUAAAAAUUUAAAUAGAGUAAUUGGGCAAUGAGGGUAUAUUUGUAAUUUUAUUAACAAUAUAUAGACAAAUUGGACAAUUAACAAUUAUUUUUUAUGUGCUAGAAGGGUAUAACAGUAAUUACAUAUUAAAAUUAUUAUUUAUGUUAAAAGUAAUUGUUUAUGUUAAUGAAUGAGGGUGUGAAUGUUUUUUUCGAAACAUUAGGGGAGUUUUUGUCUGUUUGUCUAAACGUUGGGGGUAUGUUAGUCAUUUUUCCUAAUAUGUAAAAUACGUAGGCACUAUCCUUUUUAAACGAUGUAGAGGCGAGAUAUUUUUAACAUUAUAUAUAAUUUAGUAGUUUGACCAAUGUUUCCAAACCACUAAAUUAUUUACAUAUAUUAAUUUGUGUAUAUCUAAUUUUGACGUGCAAUAUCAAGCUACUGAAUGAAGUACUGGCAUUAUUUUCAUGCCGAAUUUAGGGUUUGUUUUAACAAUAUAUAACACAAAUUAUCAAUCUUAUGCUUGUCCUUUUAUAGGUUUCGAUUUAAGCCUUAUGUAAAAGGGCUUUACCUCUUAUAUCUUUAUAGAGCAUAUAAUCUUCAUAAGAAUAACUACGAAAAAUUUUCUCAUUGAAAUCUGCAUUGAAAAUAUGGGACUUUCAUUGUUGGUUGAAAUCAAAAUCCUAUAUUAUUCUGAAUAGAUUAGAAGGGUACCAACAUACAUAACAUUAGGCCUACAGUAUUAGCAUACAACUUGAUAAAGAUCUUGGAACAUAAAUAAAUUUUUUUUAAAAAAAACAACGACCGGCUGAUCUUGGAACUUAAAUUUUCUUCUUCCUUUCAGUUUUAUUUUACUAAUUUAUUUCAAGCUUUUCAACGAAAUGAUGACCUGCGGCAUAAGACUCAUAAAUAAAUUAGAUAAAAGAUCUUCAUCUCAUUCAUCAAAAUUCAUUGAAACAUCUCUAUCAAUCAAACUGUAGAGAUUUUCAAGCUGUAACAAGAAGCCGUAAUCAUUGUAGAACAAAGCAAAACGAAAGUAAAUCCACUCAUGCAUGGAAUGGAAACCCUAGCUAGAAGCUAAACAUUAACUGUAUAUAGUAUAUGGCUGUCAUGAUUUUUGACGAAUUAUUUGAAUUAUUCAUUUAUCUUUUUCUAUCUUAUUUAAUAAACACAUCAUGCUUCCAAAGAUCAAAAGCUUCACAUUUUAAGUUCGUUAACAUUAUAUGUAUCGUUUGAAUUUGUUUUUACUAUGAGACUACGUUCAUUUUUUUGUCCCUUGUGUCAUUAUAUAUUUUUACUCCAAGGAAGGUGUGGCAUUUAAGGUUGCACCAUGAAGCUUUCAAUACAGUAUUUAAUGGGUUGAAUUGAAACCUCUAUUCCCAUUAGAUGACGAUGUCAUGACUCAGAUACAUUAAAUUUGCAAGGCCUCGCAUAGAGAGAAAUUGCUCGUUUAAUAAUAAUAAUUUUUUUUUUCAAAUAAAUAGUAGGUGGAGGAUCAAUAUAUGAACAAGAAUUUUGAAUAUCAUAAAAUGAGUCAACAUUUGUAUUCAAAUGAGCAUUUUAGAACCAGUAAAUAUCGGUGUAAGAGAAUAAUUAAUAUGAAUGAUACUCUUUUUUUUUUAAUUAAAAAGAAUAAAUAAUAUGAGCAAUACUUAGUAGAACUUUGACGAUAGAUGAAUAAAUAGACAAAUAAAAUCUAUGUGUAAUUCGAGAAAAGAAAAGAAAAACUCAAUUUUUUUUUCUGCACUAAUAUAUAUAGAAAAUUAAUGACCUUUAUAUUUUCUUUGGUUGGGGCAUUGAAUGUCAAAAUUAAAUGCCAUAAUUUCUUCUUCUUCUAUAUUAAUGCGAACAUAAAGGAGAAUUGUGAAUAAAUUUCUCAAUUACCACUUGCAUGUUCCAAGGGCAAGGGGAGGUGUAAGUCUUUAAGAUAACCAUAAAGUUUUGCACACAACAUUUAAUGCGAUUCAAUCCUUUCAAGAGCGAAGUCAAUAUACGUACAUCAUCUUUUUUUAAUUAAUGUACGUUUUUGAGAACAAUGAAUUGCCGAGACAGUCCUCCUCAACCAUAUCAAGCUGGGAAAAAAAAAAAAUUGCCUUUGUUUUUCCGACGACCUAAAUGCAAUGCUUGCCUCUCCCACAAGGAAAAGAGAAAAAAAAAAUCAACUUUUAAAUAAAUUAAAUGAAAAUGAACCCCACAAAAGUUUGGGCAUUAGUCCGAAGAACUUCGUAAUUUCAAACAGUUCAUCUGUUCUAUUUCUCCAAUGCAUCUGAAGUAUCCCUAAUCAUUCUAAAGAAAUCAUAAAAAUAAAAAUAAAAAGUAAUUUUGCAACCCAAUGCGUCUAAAUGAAAGUAGAUGGCCGUCCGACUAUUAAAAAUGAUUACUAGUUAUUCAAUUCAUUCUUGGAGCCACUUAAAUCUUUAUCGCGAUAGUUAACGAUUGUGCAAACAUCACAUAAAUGAAUGACAAUUUAAUGAAUCACACUCACACGGCUUCCUUUUUGUUGCAAUUUGUGCAGUACAUGAAUGCUUCAUUUUGGUGUCAAAGUCUCUUGUAUCAUAAUUGAAUGUUUCAUAUAGCUCACAAACGAUGAAAGUAAUAUAUUUUUCUAAUUUAGUAAACCACUUACGUGCCACCAACAAUAUUCAACCAACACUCGAAUAAAAAGAAAAAAAAAGGAUGAAGGAAUGGAACGAUUUCUUAUCAACAUUAAUUGAGAUUCAUUAACAUCUAUCAUUUAAUUCAAAAAGGAGAAAGCUAAUUUAUAUCCAGUAUAUUCAAAUGUUAAUGGGGAAAAAAUUUUGAGUCGAUCUAAAAGCUGAAAAAGUCUCAUGGACCGAUUUUUGAAUGGAAAAGAAUCAUCUCUUGAUCUGAUAUCUUAUAAACUUUUCAAGAUCUCCUGUCAUAGUGUCAUGUGUCUUUUAGUGGUAGUAUAUGGUUAAGAUUCAACUUCUUUUAUUAUUUUAUUUAUCAAUUACCAAUCAACAAUUGAAUUAUUUACUUAGAAGAGAAUUCCGAUCCUUAUUGAAUGUCCCCAUUUAUUUCAAAUAAAUCACUGUAAUAAAUAAACUACAACACAUUAAUUAGCAGGGGCAAGUGCAUUUAGAAAUGGGUGGGUGCUUCUGUUGACAACAAUUUAGUGUGAGGCUCACAUCAAAAGCCCAGCCAGCUAAUUGUGAUUUUGAACCCUAAAUUUAGCCCAAAUUAAUAUUUUUGUAGGAGUAUUAUUUAAGUAUAUAUGUUGCAGCCGUCACAGGUUCGGAAUCAAAGCAGGCGCUUACUCAAUGAUCUUUCAUUUCAUUUAUUCAUUAUAUGCUAACAAAUCAAAUCUGCAUUGAAAAUAAAAACUGUAUAGCCAAACUUUCCUGAUUACGUAAUUAGUUAACCCGACCAGGUGCUAAAACAACUUUAGCAUAAUCAUAAGCAGCCAAAAGUUGAGCAGAUUUAAAAAUAAUAAUAUAGGAUACUAGCAUUAGCACAGUCAUAAGCAGCACGUACGUGCAGAAUCAACUUUUGUUUUAGAAGAUCAAUGGGUCACAUUCUGAUACUAUCGAAUAAGCAUUUCAACUGCCAUUCGGGAGUGGCCCUAGCCGGCUGUGAAUAUGCAAUCUGCCUGUGGUCGAUAAGAAUAGAAGGUGAGAGUUGGUGUUUAGUGAUUGAGAUUUAAACCCAUCUCAUGAUAAGCUAAUACACAAGACGGGAAAAAAAAACAUGAAUCAAUAGAAGUAUUACGUCUUGUUCAUCAUCAGCCAACGCAGUGAUGAUGCACCAGGCACUGCCGCAAGUAAUAAAAUAGGUAGUGAUGUAAUUUCCGAAACAUCAUCAAAUUUCUCAUUGUAGAUACUUCUAUUUCACAACACCACUAAACCAAAUUGGGCUCUUAAUCAAAUAGUUUCAUAUCUCAUAAGACUUGCCGACGAGGCUGACAAAUAUUCGGUUCAAGUUCCGAACAGAUAUUUUGGCUCUCACAUUAUUCUUUCGUUACAUGUAAUCAAGAUUUAACAUGGGCAUGCAUUAAUUUAAACCGCAGAUAAUUAAGUAGUAACUCUUUAUUUCAAUUUCAAAACAAAGAUGAGUAACCAAAGGGGGAAAAAAAUGCCAUGGUAAUUACCAUAAUCCAUUAGUUUAGGAUUCUCCUUUCAGUAUUGAAUUGCUACCAUAACUUGAAAAUAAAUAAAUAACUUCUUAUGUUUCAUUGUUGCCUUAGCUUAGGAUUCCCCAUUCUACUUUCUACAUUUUUACCUCGUGAUUGCGGAUUUCGGUGGGAGCAUUCACACUUUCUUUGGAAAAGCCCAUUUUGAAAGCCUAGCUAUUUCUAGGGCCCAUUUGUGAUUUGUGACUCAAUUUAACCCAACCUAGCUUCUCUCUCUCUCUCUCUCUCUCUCUCUAUAUAUAUAUAUAUGAGUGCUUCUCAAGCAUAUAUAGGUGCUCGUGUUUUUUUUUAUGCGAACACGUUUUUAAGUUAUGGGGUUAAAUAAAGUCAUUUUAAUGUGAUAAGUGCAUAUUUUCUCUAUAUUUAAUUAAUUUCUCCAUCUUUUACUUGUUUUGAUCUUAAAUAUUCUAGUUCUUUUAGUUAAUUUUUAAUUUAGUAAAUCAUAUUUUAUUGGGUUAGUUUUAUCUUAAUUUUUACAUUUUGUUAUUUUAGGUAUAUUUUGAGAUUAAAAAGAAAUUAAAUCAAGAUAUUUAGAAAAAAAUCUACUUGAAAGAAUCAGAAAGGGAACUAAUUGAAGAUUUUGCCAAGAAAACCGAAACCAAUAAAAUUAAUUCAUGCGCAUUCAGAAGAUUAUGGCCAUUAGGUGGGGACUAAAGAAGAAAUUGAACCUAAUUCAAUUUGUUGGCUUUCCCUUUUGGCCUUGUAACAAUUGGCGAUUGCACAUGCAUGGCAUUAUAUAUGGAAAGUAAAUUGGACAAAAAAGGGAAAUGGCCUUUUUAAAUUAAGCAUGCAUGUGAAUUGCUUAAGCAAUUGGUGGACAAUGCAUUGGAAAUAAAGAAUUGAAAUUGGCAUAUGCAUGGCAAUUAAGGGAAGCAAAUUAAUUGCUUUAAAUUGGAAAUAAAAUCAAUAAGGAUUCGGCAUGGGCAUAAUAAUAAGCCAACCUUUGGCUUUUGAAGAAACACAUGACCGGCAGCUAAGAGGAGAAUUGGAGAUUGCAGCUGCAAGAAGAGAAGAAAAAAAUAAAAGCAAAGUCAGCCUUUUGAAUUAAUUUUCAUGACUGAUUUUAUCAACUCUUUUAUUCCUAAUUCAAUUUUCUAUUUAGUUGAGGGUGAAUUCAAAACCCCAAACAUAUUAUAUAAUUGAUUUUUAAUUUCUGUCAUUCAAUUUAAUUGAGAUUGUUUGUAUUUUUCUAUAAUAAAUGCCUAUGAUUUUAUUCUUAUCUUAUUUGAGUGGUCAAUUAAAUAGGACUUGAAUAAUUUCUAUCAGUAAAUUAAAAUUCUUAAUCCGUAAUUGUCUUGACACUUUAAUCAUUAAUAGCAAAUUGGAAUAAGUGAUUUCAGCUGAAGAACAUAACCUACGUUAAAUAAUCUGAGCUUAUGUGUUUAUUGCCUAGAUCAACCUAAUAUCUUUUUUGACUCAACGCUUCCAUUAUCUUAAAUUUAAAGAGCUUAUUUUAAAUUAUUUAAUGGUUAGAGAUUAGGUGAAGAGCUUGUUUUGCCUAAUGAAAUAUUGAAAUUGAUAGAGAUUAUUAUUGUCUACGGUUGAUAGUUUCAAUAGAAAUUAAUGAUAGAAUUGAUAUAAUGUAUGCAUGUUUGGUGGUGGCGGAUGAUUCUUUAACCAAAGUUUUCAUCAUUAUUAUUUCUUUCUCCUUUAAUUAGUGUUUUUAUUAAAUUAUCAUUUUCAUAGUUUUAAUUUCUUUAUUUCUCGCUAUU
rnacentral:lncRNA from 1 species